rnacentral:lncRNA from 1 species
UUUUUUUUUUUUUUAGUAAUAGGAAACUCAUUGUGUACAAUAUGUGAUUGGUAUAAUCAGUGUAUAAUAUUAAGUUAUCAUUAUUAGCUGUUGAGUAGAACGAUUUCAGGCGACAACAACACAAGGAGAAGAGGAGGCAUAGCCGCAUAGGGCCUGAAGAGGAAAAACUGUGGAAGGUGCAAGGACCGCUCGUGGAUAAAAUAAGAGCAUUUGAAUUUUUCUGAAAUUGGUUCAAUUGCUUUGAAAGCAGUGGAGGAGAUUUUUUGUGUUGUGUUACUGAUGUUGGAGUUUCUACGGUGGCCAAAGACCAACACUGGUAUGGUGUGAUGAAAGAAAAGCGUAGGGCUCAAGGUUUAACACUUAAAGAGAGUUUCUGAACUCAUGUAUCCUGCCAAAGUAAAUAUUCGCAAAUUACAGUGGAGUACCUUUUUCCGCCAAAAUCAAAAACCACGGAAUUAUGUUUUGCCACCAAAAUUUUGAGAUCGUAAUUUUUCUGGAAAAAUUGUGAAAUAACUCUUUCCCGCCAAUACUUCUAAAUUACGAAAAUAGGAAUUUUUACCAAAUUUGUAAAAUCGCAAUCUGUGAUUUUGCAUGUUCGACGAAAAAACAUUAUUAUGCGGUUUUACCACACAAAAAAAAACAUGAUUCACGUGUUUGGCUGGAAAACACGAUUGGAUGAUUUCUUUUUUAAAGUAAACUAGAUCCUGACCCGCACAUUCGUGCGGGGAAAAUUUUUUAAUGAAUGUCUUUGCAUAAAGUUUGUAUUAAUAUAUUAUUUUGUUGGUUAGUGAAUUAUAUAAUAGUAUAGAUACCCUAAACUUAGCAUAAUAAUUGUAGAAUUAUGUUUUGUGUUUUAAAAAUAGUUUGGUGCAUAAGUUUGUGUUUUCUAUUUGAUUAGUUUUAAAUUUAGAAUUGAAAGUUGAGAGUUUUAAAAAUAAAUUAGCGUCAGAUUUAAGUAAUUUUAUAUGUGUUUUUUUAAAAAUAUAUAGAUUGGUGCAUAAGAAAUAAUUUGAACAGUUGGAGAAGUUAUGUGUCUAAAAGUUAUUAUACAAAUGUUAAAAAUUGAAAGAAUAUAAUAUUUUAAAAUUUAUAAAUUAAAUAGUUGGUAAUGCAAUAUAAUUGUUUAUAAAUUACUAUUCGGUAAUUCUCAAACAUUUUUACGGAAAUAUAAUUUACUGGCACAAUAAUCAAGCCGAGAUAUUUUUUUGUGGACGGAAUAUAAUGUUAAUGUUGACCCAAUUAUAAAGCUUCCUUCACCCAUUUAAUAUUUUCGUUUAAAUAAAUUGAUAUUUAGUAUAUUAAUGAAUUUUAAUUUAUUUAUUUGGACAGAUUUAUUUUUUAUUUUAGAACAAUCGUUAUUGUCCUUGUUGCUUCUUAAUGCCUAACACGUGUCUGAGUGAAGAUAUCUCUUCUUCUUCCUUAACGUAUCAUCGACUGGACUUUUAAUGGGCCGCUUAAUUUUGUAAGAUAUCUUUAUGUACUCUUGUUGAUGUAUGUUGUCUUAUAUCAAUAAAAUUCAGAGAAAAAAAAAUGUCGAAAAGAAUAAUCGUUGUCUCAUCUUAAAAAACAAAAAAAAAAAAAACCCACCGAACAAAAGUAAGAACAUGGCUCGAUCGAAGAAUCAAUUGCGACAGCUAUUUCGUCUCCGUUUAUACAGUGUUGCAAAUCGUGAAUUCUUUAAAGAGGUAAGGUUGUUAUCGAAUCAGAUCUAUAGUUUUACUGCCUCAAUUCCCAAUCUGUGAAUUUUUAUGUUUGAAUAGAUAUCCUUGUCCAAGGAUUGUCAAGAAACACCAGAUCUUCUACGGGUAACUAUUGUCAAUUGAAUAUCCAAAUUUUUGUUUUCACUGAAUUAAAUCAACUAAUACGAAUUUGAUUUCGUGUAGUUUUUCUCGUUAGCUACAGAAGCAAGAUGAACAUUAAAAUUCCAGUUUACCGAGCUAUUUUUUUUUUUAAACCCAUCAAUUUUUUACAGUAUAUUUAUGUUAGCUGAAAAGAGUUCUAUUUAAUUUAGCUUCUAUAUAUAUAUUUCAAAUAUAAUGAUGUUAAUGGAAGAAAAGGAUAAACAAAGAAGAAAAACUGAUACGAUUAUUAGAAAACAAUAGCUAUUACCAAAAAUUUAAACAUGGAAUGUAUUCAGGUCAAGUAUAAAUUGCGAGUAACCUAAAAAUGUGGAGGAGGCUAUCACGUUUUGUCAUUGGAGCUAUUCAAAAAUCUAUUGGUUGAAGGUUAGUGUCUUAGUGAGAUCAUAAUUUAUACACUUUGUUUAUUAGAUUUGCAUAUUUACCUACUGUUAUUGAGUCUAAUUGUGGGUUACUUAAUAUAGAAAACUUUGUUUUUCUCUAGUAUGUUAAAAUGAAAGUACUAAAUAAGAGAUGCAAAGUAUUAAAAAUUCUACCAUUGUUUGAUAUGCAUUAAUCACCUUUACACGAAUGAACGAUUUUUACUUGGAUUCUGCAUCUUGUCUUGAAAGGUUUGAUGUUAGCAAGAUUGGUGAUAUAAGAUUUCAUCCAUUGUUAGAAAUGAGAAACGAAGUAGCAAUGUUGAAAUAGCAAGAUUGGUCUUUUGCAGUCAUUUUUAAAAAAGAAGUAGCAAAAGGUUAGGGGUCGUUUGAAAGCUUAAUGAGUAUGGAAAAUGGUAUUAGUCAUUCUAUAUUUAUAGGGAAAAGAGGUCGGCUAGGGUUAAACCUAUUAGAUCAAAAGAAUAUAUUUGCAAAUCCAUUUUUUAAAUAAAGUUUUAAGGUAUAUACUUGAUUUGAGAGGUAUAGAAUAUAUAGUUAUUGUUAUAUUUGGAAAAUAUAUUAACUGAAUUCGAAAAGAUUGAAAACAACCUUCAAGUUUGGAUAUUUUUGAAACGAAUUAUUGUUACUAUUACUAUCUAUCCUUAUUUUGUAUUCGAAAUUAAAGGGAUACGUUUGUUUUGGUAAUAUCUUUAAAUUCGUAAAUGUCAUUUUUGGUUUCCAAUUAAUUUUGUUCAGAUUGCCAAAAUCUCAACCGGCCGGAUCAAGCAAAGGAUCGAGCCCAUGAUCCGCGUGUCGACCCGCCAAAGAACCCCAGGAUCUGCGUGUUUAUUCGGUCCAGUAGCCCAAGAUCUGCGGGUUACUUCCUUUCAAAUUAUUGUUUUACCCUUCUACGUGUUUCUUUUUUUACUCUUUGAAUGCAAAAUUCCUAAUGGCAUUCUUUGUAAUUCUUUACCCUUUAUAAGAUUAUUUAUUAUCUAAUGCUUUCCAAUUAAUAGUAUAGAUUCAUUUAUCAAUUUAACUAUUAUAUAAAUAGAAAUUUAUAAAUGUCAACAAUAAUAAUUUGAAAAUUAUCUACUGAGGCGUUUACCUUCGAACUAAUACAAGAAUUGGGCCAAUAAUAAGAGCCUACUAAAAAUGAUAUGGACUUUAUCUAACAUGGAUUUAAUAAGAGAUUGACAAAUAAAAACAAUCCAUCUGGGACUGAGUCAAUCUAAUUGUAGUAGGGUUCUUUUUCUUUUCUUCUUUUGCCAUUCAUAGAUAUUGCCAUAUUGGGUUUCUAGUUUUCAACAAAUGCGUUGAGAAGAAUAGUUCCAUAAAUAUUGUUAGUCCAAAUUUUAGGUGUUAAUAUCAACAAUAAAUUUUAGUUUUUACUAAUAAAUCUAAGCUAGAGUGAAGAAAAAUAUGCAUUUUGAUAUUGUAAAUUCACGAAUUUCAAGGUAUAGGAGAGAAACCAUAAGCAUAUAUAAGUUCACAAUUCAAACUAAAAAGGCUUUAACAAUGCCUUUUUUCAAAUAUGGGUAAUCUAAUAAACCUUCUACCUUUGAUGAUUUGAUCACUCAUAUUCUGUACGUGAUUUAUAUAUAACUAGGUAUUCACUAUUUCACUUUGAUUUUGAUCACUAAGAACAUCAGAGAACAACUACAUGUCAUGUACUAUACAUGUUCUGAGUUCGAGAAGAGCUAGUUUUGGACCAAAAGACACGAAACCUGCCUACAAAAAAUUUAAAUGACUGCAAAGAUAUUUGUAAAACUUAAGAUGCUUUGCGUGAGGGUAGACAAAAAGAGGCUUGUCAAGCAAAAAGUGGACAUAAUGGAUGAACUAGUUAGUGUCAUGAAGUAUUUGUCUAGAACGUGAACAUCUUUCUUCUCUACUUGAAAUCCCUUUAGCGAAAGAGACAUAAACAACAAUAAACUUUUUUUUUUGAUAGGAACAACAAUAAACUUUAAAGUAAAAGAAACCAAAUAUUGAGACAAAAUCUUGUUAAAGGUUAGAUUAGGUAAGAGAUUCACUCCAAGAAGCCAAAUAAGACAUUGCAACGUAAAAGGUCCUGAUAGUGGUGAACUGAUAUUUGUUUCACCACUAUCACAUAGUUUUCCUUGUACGUUGAACUGAAAAAAAAAUCAUAAACCACCGACGAUAUAAAUGUUUACGGUCUGUAUUUGCGUGAUCUGUGAGCUGUAAUUUUACGUCAUAUUACUAUUGUCAAUUUGUAUAUACUCGCAAGUAGCAAAAUAUAUUUUGUGACAAAUUAAUAGCAAACUGAGUUACCAUUUCAUCCCUCUAAUUAAUUAACCUAUUGAAAUUAGCGACGAAAAAAUUAUUGCAGCAAUUUUUAAAUUUUUUACUAUAACGAUUGUUAACAACAUAUCAAACGUGGUUGCAUGAAAAUAUAUCAAACUCUGACAUUUAAUAAUCUAAGGUUAUGCUCACAUAUUAUAAACUUUUUAGAAAACCUAAUAUACCUUUAUUCAAUAAUUAAAUAUAAUUGUUUUACUUGAUUUAACUCUAGAUAGUAAGGGUAAAAUUAGAAAUGUUACAUAAAAUUUGCAUAGGAAAUACAAAAAUCUAUCUUUAUGAUUCUGUUAUUUUAAUCUCUCUGUAUGAAACGGAGAGAAUAACAAUCAAUAACUUGUAGUAAAUAUAGGGAUACAUAGUGACCAUGAAAUGAAAUAGAUAAGAAAAGAAAAACAAAAUAAGGUAGUUCAGAUAGAUCAAUUAAUUGUAUUGUAGUUGUAAAGGAAAGAUAAUGAUUUAGGUUAAUUAAAUUGUCAACUAAACACAAACUGGCAGAGUGUGAAGAAGACAAAGAUGGUGACAAGUAAAGUUUUCAAAUAUCCUAAAAGCAAAGGUCAUGCAUGAGUUCAGGGGGGUAAGGAAGUAUAAGCUUAGUUAAUUAAUCAACUAUUUUACUUAAAUUAAAAAGGGUUUAAUCAAUAUAAAGCAGUGUUCUAAAAAGCGGUCUAGGCGGUCGCCUAGGCCCCGACUAGGCGCUAGACUAUCAUGCAACGCCUAGAUAACCGCUUUGACCGCCUAAAAUCACAUAGUUCUUGUUUAAUAUAUUUUUUUAAUUUUAAUAAGAGUUUUAUUUAUAUAUAUAGUUAAAAUAUUCAUAUAUUGUUUAAUAUAAAUAUAAAUAAAUGUUUUAUCUAGUUUUUGUUUAUAAUUUCAUAAUUUUGAGUUUUAUAUAGAUAUUUUAUAUAUAAUAUUAUAUUUAUAAUAUUUUAUGUUAUAAACGUCUAAACCGCCUAAAAAUCGCCUAAGCCCCGAUUAAGCGUUCUAGGCGCUAGGCACUGGGUCACCGCCCGCUUAGCGCCUAGCGCUUUCUUGAACAUUGAUAUAAAGUAAUAAUAAUAGCAUUUAAAAAGGUUUAGUGAUCAAAUCAGGUUUGUAGUUAGUAAGAUUCGGGAAGAUCUUGCCAUGUCUAAACAAAUACUUAAUUUCAACGUCAAUCACGCCAACACUUUAAACUUGAUGUUAAUCUAUUGUUUAUUAAAGUAUUUUUGGUGGGACCUCAAUUAUAACCUGAUUAAUCAUACACAAAUGCAUAGAUCAUUAUAUUAAGUGGGUAGAUCAAAGAUCUAUUCAAUAGAAUUGUAAUCUUUUAAUUAUUUCUACAAACUAAAAACCAUAUAGUAAGAGAAAAUUCCUUUAUGUCCAAUCAACUAAUUGAAUGGUUCAAAUCCCGUGACAUAGUUGAAAACUUAAACAAUGAUGAGAUUAUGUAUAUGCUUAUCUAUACUAAACUAUAUAAUAUACGAUUAAUGCUUUACGAGGUAUGUAGACCUUCCUAUCUUUUAUAUUAUUCUUAUGUCUAUUAUGUGUACACGCACACAAAUAUGGUACAUGUAAUCAUUUUAUGUAACAUAUAUGUAUAUAACAAUUUUCUAAGAAUUAUUAAAGAUGUAUUAAAGAACCAUAAAACUCGGAAACUUAACCAUUAAUCAUAUAUAUAAAAGAUUGUAAACUAUGUGGAAACAUGCCAUAAGCACUCCAUAACAAAGUGAGUGGACCAACCUAGACUCCAUAAUUAUUUUAAAUCUCAUCUUAAUUAUAUAAAUAUAUGCACAUGCAAACUUAAGCUUGAUCUCAUUUUAAGUCUUUAAUCUCAUCUUUCCAUUUUCAAGAAGACUUUUAAAUCUGUCUCUCUCUCUCUCUUCCUAUCUCUCUCUUUGUACAUACAUAUAUGGCGACAGAAACAUCUUCUUUGAAGCUCUUCGGUAUAAACCUACUUGAAACGACGUCGGAUACAAACCGGUCGUCCGAACCAAGAUCCGGACCCGGAACUGGAUCCGAGUCACGUAAGUACGAGUGUCAAUAUUGUUGUAGAGAGUUUGCGAACUCUCAAGCUCUUGGUGGUCACCAAAACGCUCACAAGAAAGAGCGUCAGCUUCUUAAACGUGCACAGAUGUUAGCUACUCGCGGCUUGACACGUCAUCAUAAUUUUCACCCUCAUACCAAUCCGCUUCUUUCCGCCUUCGCACCGCUGCCUCACCUCCUCUCUCAGCCGCAUCCUCCGCCGCAUAUGAUGCUCUCUCCUUCUUCUUCGAGUUCUAAGUGGCUUUACGGUGAACACAUGUCGUCACAAAACGCCGUUGGGUACUUUCAUGGUGGAAGGGGACUUUAUGGAGGUGGUAUGGAGUCUAUGGCAGAAGGGGUUAAGGCUCACGGUGGUUCUUUGCCGGAGAUGAGGAGGUUCGCCGGAGAGAGUGAUCGGAGUAGCGGAGUCAAGUUAGAGAAUGGUAUUGGGCUGGACCUCCAUUUAAGUAUUGGGCCAUGAAUGAUUUUUAUUUUGGCCCAGUAAAAAUCUGUAAAAUACUACUCGGAUCUCAUUUAUCUAGAGUGUUUUUUUUUUUUUUCCUUAAUUUCAGUUGAAAUUAGUGAUUAUUUUUUUCUUACUUUACCAAAUCUUAUAUUCUAUGUAUGCGUUUGCUUUCACCUUUUUUAUAUUCUUCUUGUAAAAAUGCAAUGUGAAUUUUCUUCCCUAUCAUUCUGUCAACUUUGGUUCAAUUAUUUAGUAAUCGAAAAUUAUAGCUAGGAAUAGUGUUGAAAGAAGUUGAUUAGCUAGUUUGUGAGAUGCAUACCAAGUCGAUUUCAGUUUUCUAUUACUUAAGAGUAGCAAGAAGAAAUCUUUUAUAUCUUUAUCCAAUGGUUAUCGUUUUGCUUGUCCUUUACCAAGUUCUCAGUAUAUAUCUGAAAUGAAAUCACAGUCUAGUAUAAAAAAUAGAUGUGCUCAUAACCUUGUGUCGCGUGGAGUAAAGGACGUGAGUGUUGAGUAUGAAACUCUCAGUAGAGAUAUGGAAUCAUACCUGCCGAGAUCGUUAAAGCCAUCAAACUAGAGAAAAAGAAGUUGGCUUUAGUUAAGUAAAGUUGUGCUUAAACUUAGUCGAAUCUCGGAACUAUUGACACACAAACCGUCGGAUUAUGUAGGUAUUGAGGUUGAUGCUCUUCGGGAGCUGCUUCCCUAUAGUUGUCCUUCGGCAAAGCGGGAUCAACUUCUUGCAGAUGUUACGGAGGAUGAGGUGAGAAAAGUUUUGUUUUCUAUGCCUACAAAUAAAUCGCCGGGACCGGAUGGUUACACAGUGGAGUUCUAUAAGGCAGCUUGGUCAAUUAUUGGAGGUGAUUUCACAGUUGCAAUACAAUCUUUCUUCAAGUUUGGUUUUUUGCCAAAAGGACUAAACGCGACAAUUCUAGCUCUUAUCCCAAAAACAAUAGAUGCACGGGUGAUGAAAGACUAUAGACCCAUUUCUUGCUGCAAUGUGGCGUAUAAGACUAUCUCAAAAAUAUUGGCUAAUCGGUUAAAGACCAUUCUCCCCGAUUUCAUUGCUCCGAAUUAGUCAGCGUUUAUUGAGGAUAGACUUCUAAUGGAAAACUUACUUCUUGCCACUGAAUUGGUGAGAGAUUAUCACAAGGAAGGUGUGUCUUCUCGUUGUGCUCGCAGCAAUGGACCUACUAGAACAAUUCAUUCAUUAGAUUUCUCUAUGUAUAUCAACGGCCUCUUUCUCUAUUCAAAUAAAUGGAGAGCUUGCUGUUUUUUUCAAGAGUAAAAAGGGGUUGCGACAGGGAUGCUCUCUCUCUCUCUCUUCAUAUCUAUUUGUGAUCUGUAUGAAUGUUCCAUUGCUUGAAAAAAUCAGAGCUCAGAUUAGUUCGUGGAAAAACAGAUUUCUAUCCUUUGCGGGAAGAUUACAACUACUACGCUUCGUGAUCGCAAGUCUUACCAACUUCUGGAUUGCUACAUUUCGAUUACCUUCUGCCUGUGUAAGGGAGAUAGAAAAGAUAUGUGCUGCAUUUUUGUGGUCGGGACCGUCUCUCAACACAAAGAAGAACAAGGUAGCGUGGAGGGAUGUUUGUAAGCCAAGGGAUGAAGCUGGUUUGGGGCUAAAAUCUGUGGUUGAGAAGGUAGGCUGUUUUAAGCUCAUAUGGCGGAUAGUCUCAAGUCCUAAUUCACUCUGGAUAAAUUGGAUUAGAAGAGAACUCAUUCGAUCAGGUUCAUUCUGUCCAUCAAAGAAACCACCUCUUUGGAUUCUUGGAUGUGGAAGAAGUUGCUCAAAUAAAGAUCACAGGCCAAGGAUUUUCACUCAAUGGAAAUUAAAAGCGGGUUACAAACAUCCUUUUGGUAUGAUCACUGGUGCUCCCUUGGUCGUUUAUAUGAUAUUCUUGGUGUGAGGAGUUUCAUUGAUUGUGGGGUUUCCUCAAACGCUACGGUUGCUGCAGUCCUAGCAAAUCACAGAGCUAGGCACCAACUUCUCCGAUUGUUAUUCCAUUUUAAAACCUUCGCUCAUGUCAAAUUGGUCAUCACCAAAUUUGCAGGAACAAACAUGAUGAAGAUAGAAACAAACAAUUACACGACAGACGAGAUCGCGUACUUUCACUAGAGGCUCAAUGAAGAGUCUAAACAGCUAUACCAAAGAAAUUUUGGAUCGAAUAUAUUCCGCGAGAAACCAUUUUUUAGUUAGAGCAUACUCAUUAACAUUUACCAUGCCCCAUAUAUGAUCAAAUCCUAUCUGACCUAUCUUGCCAAGCCUAUUUCAAAAACUGAUUUUAUCAAACACAAGCGACAAGAAAAAAAAAAGAUAAGAAAAACGUGAGGCACACUUGACCACAAUAUGCUAACCAGUACCAUCUGAUUCCUUCAUAUUUAACCUCCAACAAAGCCUAAGAUAAACCUAUAAAGUAAGUAUCCAACACAGGAAUGAGCAAAUCACAUUGGAAACCUGUUCAAAAGCUUCAAGGACUUGAAAGGUACACGAGUUUCAACAUCCAUAUGUGUGUUCCCAACAUUACUAUAGAUAUCAAAAGCAGUUGCUCAAUAUCACCUAUGAUCAACCUCCGAGUUACUAUCGGUACAGGUUUUACCAUUAUUGUCAGGUAAUCUAUGGUUUGUCAACAAACUGCUCAUUAUCCCAGUGAAAAAGUAGUUCCUGUGGUUUUGAUUGAUCCAAAAUCUCAAGGGAACAAUGAGUCAACAAAAAGUAGCGGGUUAAUGAAGAGAGACACAAAGUUCACAGUAUCAGACGAUCUAGUCAUCACACUGAUGAACUCAAGCUCAUCUUUUUGCUUGCUAAAGAAGUUUGAGAUUCACGCAGAGGAUUUAGAGGUGCUACAAGUAAGCAUCAGCAAAACAGAGGUACUGUUUAAUAAUUCGUGCAAUAGUUAACUGAUUCUUGUAUCAGUUAGAAUCAUUUAACCGAUUCUUUUGUGAUCAAAACCAGGCUACAAGUUUGUGGAAGACUUCCUUUGUGACAUCCUCAGCAUUGAACACUUCUUUAAGAAACUUGAUUUUGGAGAAGCUAAAGGUAGAGACUUGUUGAAGAAACAAGACAACCAUAGAUAUUCUGGCAAAAUCCACAUUGUUCAAUCUUUGUUAUUAAGCAUUAUGAAAUCUUCUUUGUGGUCUUGUAGAUCCUUCUUAGAGACUAUUAAGAUUUCGAGAGCUACUUUUUCUCAAUUUCUUGAUACUUGCAGGCGGAUCUAGAAUAAGUUUCUAAUGAGGUCAAUGUAUUAUAUGAAGAGAAAAAAAGGAUCAACUCAAGAAAUUUUAACCAUUUUCUCUAAUUUUCUAUUACGUUUUAAUAACAAAUCAGUUAAAAUAUAAAAGUUAUUGGGGUCAAUUGACCCCACUCCCACCAAGGUAGCUCCGCAGAUGAAUUAUUUUAUGAGAACAUUUUCAAAUUUUCUCCAUACUUCGUCCCAAACAAUUUCCUUUCCUUGUUUAAUUUGGGUUUACUUGAAACUUUAAAUAUCCACGGGUUGUUUUGUAAACAAACAGAGAGCUCCGGGAAUAGAAAUAAAUUUCCUUUCUGGAUAUGUGUCGGAAACUGCUGAGUAGUUGAUACAGCUACCAAAUGUGUGCUUCCCUAUUACGUAACCAAAACUAUAAGUAACUUUUGGAAUAAAAUAAAAACUAUAAGUACCAAUAAUCAACUAAAAAUUAAAUGAAACAGAACUCAAAUUAUGUAUAGUUGAUUUAUCUUUUCACAAAAAAAAAUAAAGUUGAUUUUGCACAAAUUAUAGAAAUAAUCAAGCUUUUUAUCAUCCUCAUAAGCUUAAAAACCAAAAAGAACAAAAUCAAGCCGUUAAUCGAAGAUCCAAUUUCAACAUAACAACACAAAUUGUCACCAUAGAGACAUCAGACAUCAUCCAUAUCCAAAUUCAUCGAUAAAACUUCAGAGCUUGUCAGAAAUUCAAAGAUUUGAUCGAGAUCAUCAAACUCUUGAUAGCGCCCAUCGAAGUUUCCAAGUACUAAACCAUUGUUGUUGCUAUUGUCAGAAACCGCUAGGGUUUGCUCUUCCGUGUUCUUAUGAAACCCUUCGAAAUUCACAGUUACAUCAUCUUGAGUGCAAACACUUGCAGAACACGUUUGAAGAUUUAGGGUUUGCUUUUGAUGAUCAAACUCUUGAUUGCACUCAUCGAACUCAAACUCGUCAAAGAUUUGAUCGAGAUCAAACUCUUGAUUGCACUCAUCGAAGUUUCCAAGUAAACCGUUGUUGUUGUUGCUGUUGUCAGAGACCGCUAGGGUUUGUUCUUCCGUGUUCUUAUUCACAGUUAUAUCAUCUUCAACGCAAACACUUGCAAAACACGGUUGACGAUUUAGGGUUUCCUUUUGAUGCUCUCUUUGCUUUUCCAACUCCUUCAGAUCUCGCAACAUCGUCGACAUUGAAUCCAUCGCAUCUCUCAACUCCUCCAGAUUCUCUGAUUUGGUCAGACUCUCAUCUUCCCACCAAAACCCUAACUUUUCAUCACAAGGACGCUGAUUCGCGAGAAAAGCAGAGACAACACUAUCAACAGAGGAGUGGCCAAAAGUGUAGAAAGAGGCAUUGGAAUUAGAAGAAACAGGAGUUGCUAUGAUCGCAAUCUCUGCGUCGGAGAGAAGACAAAGCUCAGAAGCUUUGCUAUAUAGACCCUUACGACGUUUUGAGAAUGAAACCGCUCGUGAAUCUUUCUUCUCUAUCUUCUUUAUAGCAAUCUUCCUCUUCAAGCCACCCAUUAUGUUUUUUCUCAAUUUCACAAACAAACGAGAACGAGACAAGACUUAAGAAUUUUGUGUUUGCUUGUUGUGAAAGAAUAUGAUAAUGGACUCACUCUGUUUCUAAUCAGAUAUAUAUAGACUUAAGUCCUAAACUCAGCUUCUAAUUAAUCGAUGUUAUUUCCUUUUUCUAACAGUAAUUAAACGACUAAGUAAAAUUGUUUUCCUUUUUUGAAAGUAAUUACUCAAAACCAGACGAACCAAGGCUGGUUCUGUUAAACCAAUUUCCCUUUUUCUGAUAAUCGAUCACCUAAUCAGUAAUUAAACGAAAAAAAUUCAAAAUUGUUUCCUUUUCUAAAAGUAAAUUACUCAAAACCAUCUGCAAAUUAACCAGUAAACCAAUAUGCAAAUUCUCUCUUUAACCGGUUUGGUCAACGGUCAUUAAAAUAAGACCGUUAAAAAGGGUAAAAGCGUCAAUACAACAAAAUAUUAAGGAGCCUCUCUCCUUCUCUUUGUUCAAUCAGACCGUUACGAAUCAAAAAAAAAAAAAAAAAAAAAAGUUGCAAACUUUGUGAGGAAGAAGAAGACGAUACAGUAAUGGAAGAUACAAUCUCAAACCCUAGUAUGGAAUCUCUGUUUUUUUCCGUUGAUUCAAUCUCCGAUACACAACAAAAACUCAAGCUUUUGGUUGAUAAUGGUGAUUACGGAUUCGAAAGAGGAUCUAGAUAUGGAGAAUACGCGAGAUUACGAGAAUCGAAGCUUCGAAUGAAACGAGACUUCGAGAAGAUUCUUAAGGAAGAGGAAUUGAGAUUUGGUUUUAAUAGAGAAGAAGAAAUCAGAGUUUUGCCGGAGAAGAAGACUAGAUUCGGAUUUAUUCAGAAUCAGAGGAAAACGUCGUCGUCUUCUUCAUUGGCUCAAUCGGUUCCUGAUUUCUCUGCUAUGAUUCGUAAAGAGAAUCGUCGACCACCGGUUAAUUCGAAUUUGAUUCCUCGGAGAACAGAACUAACUCCACCGCCGAUGAAGAGUAGAAACGCUGCCGUUUUCGCUGGUUCGGUGGCGAGAGGAAGUGUAUCAGCGAGUGCUGGUGAGAAGAAAGGUAUUGGGAUGAUGCGUAAGAGUUACGCUGCUGUUGAUGAUCUUAAGAAAAUAUCUAUGGCUGCUGCUUCAGCCAUUAACGGCGGUGGAGGAAAAAGGAAAUCUAUCGGCGGUGGCGGAGGAGGAGGAGGAAGGAAAUCAAUUGGCGGUGGUGGUCGGAGUAUUCUAGGUUACAGACAAAUUUACUGAUUCUUUGAUCUUGUUUGCCUCUAAAAUCUAACAUUUGUUGCUCAAAGUUUGUUUUUUUUUCUUCUACGAGUGUCUGUGUUUAAUGGGUUUUUGAUUGAUAAAGAUUAGUCCUUUUUCUGAUUUAGGUUUCGGUGAUUGAUAGAUUUUGUAUCAAUAACGAUAAAGUUUGCAUAGUUCUUAUCAGAAAGCUAAUAAACAUUAUCGUUGAAAUAGCACAAGAAAUGGUGAAUUACAAAUGCUAUUUGACAAAACAUUGAUUAGUUCUAAAAGAGAUUAGCUUUCACCGGUAAGGAUUUCCCUAGAUCGGUUGUUAACUCGCCAACCAAACACCGAAGGAUCUCAUAUGCAAUCUCUGAUCCUAUUCCAAAUAGAAAAGUUUCAGGAUCAAGCCAUUUCUCCAUUUCGAUACCGAUAACCUCAUCCAUGUUAAUCCGAGUCCACUUUGGAACUUCUUCAAGAACACCUCGAAUCAACUCGUCAGGUUUAGCACUGAAAGACUUUAACAAUCCGCAGGAAAUGUUUCGUUCUUCCAAGUGUUCGAUCAUAGCAUCUACGAGGAACCCGCCGGUUAGUCCAGGGAGGUUGACUAUCAUGUGGGGUUAGCGGUAAGGUGGAGUCCGUGAAACAGGCACGUCCCNNNNNNNNNNNNNNNNNNNNNNNNNNNNNNNNNNNNNNNNNNNNNNNNNNNNNNNNNNNNNNNNNNNNNNNNNNNNNNNNNNNNNNNNNNNNNNNNNNNNCAAGACUCGCGAUCGCCUGAUAAUUACCACCACUUGUUGAAUGCUUGAAUGAAGUCGCGGAAUCUUCGAGGAUGUUCCAGUCGGGUUCUAUAGGCUCUAGAGGCAGCCUCAUUUGUCCUGGAACUACAAACCAUAAAACCAGUUUCAGGUUUCAUAUACAAGAACUGAUGUUUUAAAGAAGUUAUUUGCUGUCUGACUAUCUUUAUGUACCUGAGACAUUGUCAAAGCUAUUUGAAAAAAAACUCUCAUUGGAGAAAGAUGCAUCGAGUACAGAACCCGGGCUAGUGUACUCACUGUUUGCAUUUCCAACGGGGCUCCACAACUCAUUUUUGCCUUUCCUCUGCAAGAAGCAAGAAGCAUAAUGAAUAAAGAGAUGGGGAAAUACUUAAAAUGGAAGUCUUCGGAGAUUAUAAACAUACCCGAUAAGCUGUUUCUGCGUAAGGCAUAUCGAUAUCUCGAUUAUAACGCUGCUCCAAAGCUAAAGAAGAUAGCAAUUCAUGGAGAAUCAAAGAGGCUGAUUUAUUGGGAAAAACACUUUCUCCUUUGGCCUCAUCUUCUUCCUGAGAAGCCAAUUCUUUCAACUUUUGCUGAAUCAACCCGAGAGUACCUACAUCAAGCGGUGGCCUUUUCGUAAAGGAUGGUCUUGGAACACGUUGAACUCCUUUUCUCUCUUUAGUUUCUCUACAGCAUUGGCUAUUAUUUCUGUGAAGUGAACCAAGUUUCAGUGAUGGAAAUGCAGUUUCAUUGCUACCGCUGGGGCCAUUACUAAAAGCGCAAGAGCAUUCACCAUCUAACCUUUUUGACACUGGACUCGUAAAGCUACUUCCUCGUCCGUGACCACUAUCACAAGCUAGCCUCCUCUUCCGUCCUGGCGUGCUUAAUACCGAUCUACUACUAGACUCCUCAACUCUAGUCUGAGAUUUUCUCUGCAGAUUCAAAUCAGAGUUUUCAAAUUUAACCGGGGACUUCGAGUGAUGACUCCUACUAGUUGAACCUCUAUUCAUAGCUAUAAAGUCCUUCUCUUUACAGUUGAUAGCAUUUGCAGGUGAAGAACAACCUCUUUUACUUGGUAAGGCAAAAGAUCGAGCUUCUGGAGGAAACCUGUCCUCCCUAUGCAACACCUUAUUAUGAUAAUCUCUGUUUCUAAAACCCGGCAGCGACAUUUCAUCCUUUCCAUGCUUCCCAUUGUAGUCAUAUCGAGCACGGUGUAGAGCUUUCCUCACCACUUGAUCUGUACUGUCUUCAUUUCUCCAAAACACAUUUCUUUUACUCCGUUGAAAUGGAGUUGAUUCAGAAACACACGCCACGCUCUUACCAGUUUCUUCAACUACCGGACUCGAACCAUUAACAUCAACCAAGCUACCACAAGCUUUACAAGAAGCAACAUUAUUAUUAUAACCACAUUGAAACUCAGGUGAAACAACUUCAACCGGCUCUUUCCCAGCAUUUUCAAACCUUCUAAACCCCGAAGAACCAGGAUAAGCAAUAGCGCAUUUCGCAUUUCUCUUCCCCGGUUCAAGAAUCCUAGCAGCAGCAUCAAUCAACCUAGAACUUCUUCUAUUCAACCUCGGACUUCUAACAGGAGAAGCCAGUUUCUGAUGCUGAUGAUGACUAUUAUACUGAUGAUGUUUCCUUACUCGAGUCAAAACAUUCUUGAUCUGCAACGCAUCAGAACCAAACUUCUUCACCGCAACACGCCUAUCACAAACUCCCGUUGUUCUCUGCAUCUUCUGUGGCCUUAACUUAUCAAAACCACUCUCUUCUUCUUCUUCCCCAUCAAACAAGUCACAUUUAUCGGUACCUUGAAUCUGCGAAAACAACUGUUUCUUCUUCUUGUUCUUCCCUUUGUCUCUAUGACUAGAUGGCAUUGAUUCAAGUCCCAUUAAACGUGCUACUAAACUAGGAGAUCUCAUUUCAUGCUUUUUAAGCUCUCCAACUUCACCUCUAUUUGGAAAACUUCCUCUGUUCUCAUCAUCAAUCUAUCAAUUCAACACAAAUACAGAAAAAAUCAACAAUUACUCAAAUCAAAAACUAAAGAUAUAAACUUUAACAUAAAGGAGACAUAAUCACCAGAUUAAGCUUUGACUUUAACAUCUUCUCAUUCCCUCCAAACCUCUUCGAAACUUGUUUUCCUGACACAACCAUAGAUAAACUCCUUCAUUACACACAAGCUCAACAACAAUCACUUUCAAACAUAAACUGAGACAGAGACAGAGACUAACCAGGAAGAAGUGAUUUGCGAGAAAAGAGUUUCUUUUUAGCAAAACGUCGAUUCCAAUCAAAGAGCUGGAAGAAAACACCGACACAACCACCAAGUCGGUUUGGUCGUUUCUCAGUUAUAGCCGCACACGGCGCCGUCGUCUCCUGUAACUCUCCCGUCAUAACGAAACCCUAACAAACCCACAAGCUCAGAGAUAUCUCAAACACAGUAAAAAAGUCUCCUUUAGAGACACAUUGUCUCAAAUUCCAUAACUUUAUCACAUAAUCAAGAAAGAAGCAAAAACCCAGAGAAAAAAAAAGAACAAAACUUUCUUUGAAUUCUGAUUCUUAAAAGAAAAAAGAAAAAGUCACUCAGCUUUUGUGAGUUUGUGGAAUCUCUCAGAGAUGAAUGUACAUCAAGAAGACAGUUGGAAAAUCAAGAAAACGACAAUGGUACUACAGUAGAAGAAGAAAGAAACAGAGCUUUUUUGGAAGAAUGGAAAAAGUUUAUGUGUCAAGAACUGAGAACUCAACGGGUAAAUAUUCGCAAUUGAGAGUUUAAAAAGUGAAAGGAGACAAAAGCAAAACGAUAGUGACGAGAAGUGAUUGAAAGAGAGAUGAGUAAAUCUUUCUGUUUUUUUUUUUUUUCUCUGUGAAAAUUAUUACUGUGAUUCUCUCUGUUGUCACUGACGGUGAAAGGAGCUCGAGAGAGAUUGUUACAGAAGAAAGAGAGAAGCAUGCGCACAAAAGGUUAAGUAGCUGAUACAAGUAGACUAGAGAAAAGACUCAAAAAAGAGAAACAAAAAUGGAGAUUAGUUUUGAGUAUAUGUUUAGAGAGUAGAGAUUAGAAGCGUAAAAAUGUGGUUCCGGACAAUAAGGGUUAAAGGUUCGAGGUUUCUGUUUCUCUCGUUUUUGAGGAAUCCAGCUUCAUCUGUAGUCCGUUUCUCAGUUCCAACUUUGUAUUGGUUUUUGUUCCAAACUGAAAUAAAAACUUAAGUGUUUUUUUAACUUUUUAUAACUAAUAUUGAUAAAGGAAAAAGAAAUAUGAUAUCAUGAUUUUUUUGUGGCCAAUCGAGUCAAGACAUGUGGACUACACUUCGAUUAUAACUAUUUUGUGUCAAAAGAAAGGAAAAAAAAGAAAAUAAUUUUGAAGAGGCUAAACAACGACCUGACCUUAUGGAUGAUGACCACAGUGUGAUGGGGUUUUAGAGGUUGUGGUACUAGCUUGUCUCCUAGGGCAAUAACAAAUAUAAUAUAGAGCUGCAAAAUUUUCGGUUAUAGGUGACGAAUCAGAAUUUUUUUUAGUCUAGACUAAAGUGUGUGUGAGGAUUAUCUAUUUGUUAAAGGACUUUUUUUACGUCCAAUUGUUAUGUUUAGGUUCAUGGACAAAAUUUUAUCAUUGUAUCAAGUGAUAGUAAGUACUCAAGGUGUGGAUUCACAAAAUAUCUAUGAAUUAGCGAAGGUUACGACCAAUAUAAUGAGUCAAAAUUGUCAAAUAAUAAUGGGAUCAUAAAAAGAACUUUCAAAGCUUAUGAAAUUUUCAUUAAAUUUUUAAAAUUUUCUUUUUCCAAAACUGUUCAUCAUGAUUUUCUUUUAAAGUAUAUCAAAUGGAUUCUCAGAAAUUAUCGUGCGAGUUACAAAUGGUUACGAAAAAAUCAUAUUUUAAUCGUUUUUGCAAGUUUCUAUAAUGUAUUAAGAGUUUUUUUUUUUGACAUCCCAAUAACAAUAAGGGUAGUUUGUAAGAAAAAUUUUGGAUGUUAUUAUUUUGGUAAUGGAUAAUUACAAAAUGUUUUUGCAAAUUGAAUACAAAAAAGACCAUUUACAAAUGUCUUUUUUUUUUAAUCAAGAGGUUCUCUAAUUCUAUGUGAUCAUAAAUUAGAGCAAGUAAAUUAGUCUCUUCUCCAAUGACAAGAUUUGAACAUAUAACCUAAAGUGUAAUUCAUUUGGAAGGUCCUUGGUCCAACCAAUAAAGGACUCCUAAAUUACGAACAUCAUUUUCUUUUAUAUAUAGUCGAGAUAUCAAAUAAGCUCGAUUCAGAUAAUCAGACGGCUCUAGUAAUCUGCUUUUGGGUAAGUGUAUAUCGUUCAAUAUUCACUUAGACUUUUUAUCAAGUACUAUAUGUGUAUAUGACUAUAUCCAACGUUGUUGCAAGUUUGUAUUACACUAAUCAAGAGUCAAUAGCUUCAUUAUUUGUAGACUUUAGUGUCUAGGAAAAAUGUAUAGUGAACUAUAUAUAUAAGUGGGUAAAGUAUAUACGGGAAAAAAGUUUGAAAUAUUAAGUGUAAUAAGACAGAAAAAGCAGAAGUUGCGUCUUUGUCCGAGUCUGACGAAUUCUGAGAUGUCACGGACAAUAACCCAUACACGCUACGAAUCUCAAGCAUUCCCCCACUUCUAUCUAAACACAGUACCAAUUAUUUUUCUUCUACUCAUCGAUCAUAUAUAUAUACACAUACUUCCAAAUAUAAAAAUAUUUGGUUAAGCUAUAUAUUGGAAAUUGUUAGUAACAUAACUGUUUGAAAAUUUCCAACACGAAACGAUGCUAAAGGAAACAAAAAAAAAAAAGGGAUCAAAUUUUGUCCGAAAAAUGAAGAAAAUAGGAAACCCAGUUUUACUAUUUGCAAAAAGUAACAGUUUGGCCAAGAUGAAACAAAACAAAAAUUCCUGGUGCUUUCUCUAGAAUACUGUGGUUUGAUGAAAACAUUAAACAUCUAUCAUGCAGAAAGUUAAAUAGUUUUCGUGACUUUCUUUUUUUUUUUGGUAAGCAGUUUUCGUGACUUUCUUAUCGAACAGUAUAUGAUGUUUUUUUUAUUGUAUAAAUGAUUAUAUAUAUUUUUUUUGAGCAAAGUCUAAUUUCCAUUAAACGUAAUUAGGUUUCCAUACAGAGAGAUAAAAGGGCCUCUUUUGCCGGCGCAUCGGCUUGGCAAUUUUGAGUGCGAGGAAUGUAAUUGAAAGGGCAAACAUUGAAAUCAAGAGAUAGAUAAAGGAUGUCGUGGAGAAUCCCGUGAAACUCCUUCUGUGGGAGUUUCGAAUUGAUAGCUUUGACUAGAAUCAUCGAGUCUGAAGCGAAAGAAACGUUGGUGAGUAUAAAUGAUUAUAUAUUACAAUUACAUGUUCAUAUUGCUUAUGAAUGUGUGUUUUAUAUUUGCUCAUAAUGAGAUACAUUAUACUAAUAUAUUGAUAAUGACUAGUUAAUAGUUAAUACGGAGAACCGAAAAUUUGAUUGUUGCCAAAGGCUAACAUAAAAACAUAUGAGAUAAUAUAUAAGAUAACAUAAUAUUUUAAUUUAUAGAUGUCUAUAUAUAAAGAACAAAUUAUUUUGAAUUGUGUAUGCAUCACAUGACGCUGAAUUGUGGAUACUAGAAAAAAAUAUUUUUGGUACAAGAGAAAUAUGACGUGCUGAAUUGUAGCUAGAUAAUUGGAAAAAUAGUUACUAUAAUAUGAAGAUAUAUAAAAUUAUUUUUCAGUAUAGCCGUUCAAUUUACGGACCUACCUUUUUCCAAAAUAUAUGUAGCAAUUUUACGAAUUUAUACACACAUACACUUUCAAUAUAAAUUAUUUUUUAGCUGUAAAUAGAAAAUUGUUAGUAACACAACUGUUUGAAAUUCCCAACUCGAAAGGAUUCCAAAAGUAACAAAAAUAAGUAGGGUUAAUGAGGAAAAUGACACAAUAUUUUUGUUAAAACGAAGGAAAUAGUAAGUCAAUUUUACUAUUUGCGUUAAAUAAUAAUUUGACCAAGAUAUAUGAACAAAAAGGAAAUUCCUGGAGUUUUCUCUAGAACCAUGUGGUUUGAUCAAACAUCAUGCGGAAAAUUAAACAGUUAUGGUGAUUUCAUUUUUUUUUUCUUUUGACGCAACAGUAUAUGUGAUGUUUUAAACUGUAUAAAUGAUAUAGGGUAUUUAUAAAACUUGACCACAAACAAUCCAUAAAUUAGUUCUCUCUCCUCCCUAUUUUUGACUCUACUGUAUACAUAUGUAAAUGACAAUAAUAUCCUUAACUAUCAACUAAUGUUUCUGUUCUUUUUAUUCCUCUCUUUUACUUCUCUUUAGUUCUCUGUAUAUAUGUACCAUUUUCAUGAUACCACAAUUGCACGACGGCAAGAUGAAAAUGAAUUCAGAAAAAAAAAACCACUAAAAACAAAUUUUGUCCUUAAAAGCAAACCGGUGAACUGUGUGGUUCACUUGUGACAGUGAUGGUAUUGAUUGACAAAGACGAAACAUAAAAGAGGGGAAUGAUAUCGUCAACGACAACGACGAUUAUUGUAUUUUUCCUGGUGACAGUUGCGUGUCGAAGUGAGAAUGUUCGAUUUGAUUUUGUGGUAGAGAAAGACGGUCAACAAUGGUGGUUUCAAUUUUGAUUUCGUGAAAGCUGAGGCCAUGAUGCGAUGGUUGUAAAUCAAGUUGCUCGUUUCGAAUCCCGUCAUAAUUGUGCAAUGAUGAAUUUGACAAUUGGGAUUUUGAUGAGGUUAAUCGAUCAAGAGAGAAAUGGGUUUCGUCGGGAUUGUCGUAUGUUUUUGGGUUUAAUUUUGCUUUGUAACUAACAAUUUAAUUAGCAUCGUAUAUAAAAAUGCUAACAUAUAAGUUAAACGUGAUAACUAGGUUAUCAGAAUAAAGAAAUAAUGCUAAUGUAUAAGUUAACGGCAAUAACUAGAUUAUUAGAGUAAAUAAACAUGUUAAUACAUAAGUUAACCGAUAUCAAUCAAAUAAUAAAUGAUUUAACAUGAUAAAUAUGAAUUUAUCACAUAACUUAUAACUUAUCGCGAUAUAAUAUAAUUCACAUUGUUGAUCAAUUAAAUAAAUACAAAAAAUUAAUGUCUCCUUUUUGCUACUAGUGAUGAAUAAGUGUUUCCAACGUCGGAUGAAUAGUUUUUACCGUGUUACUGUUUAAUAAAAACAUGUUAUUCAAAGCUAUAUCAACAUAAAAUAAUAUGUAUCAUGCUAAUCAAUUAGCUAAACUCUUUAUCUUGAUAUUUUUUUUGUUACCGUAUAAAUGUGAAAAGGGUAUUUUUGGCAUUAGUUUGAAGCAGAUGAAAGAGAACUAAUUAAUUAGUCUUCAAUGCCAGAUCUUGCAUUAUCUUUUCGUCUGUGGUUUAAUAUUUUGUUGACCCAAUGAUAUAUCUUAUAAUUACAAAUUUUGAUUGUUGCCAAAAUACUUACUUAAAAUAAUAUGGGAUCAUUUUUAUAGUAUUAGUAAAGGAAAUGUUAUUUAAGGUUAUAAAAAAAAGUUAUUUUAAAAUUCUAUAAAUUUUUGUAUAACAAGAUCCAUUUUUUGUUAUUUGUAGUGGAUGUAACUUGUCAACAUAUUUUUUAACCACAUCACUAAAUAAAAUCAAUGAAUUAAAAGUAAGGUUGCUAAUCGUUUGCCAUGUGACAUCCAAAUAAACAACAUUCGGUCGCAGUCAUUGAUCCUGCCAAACAAAAGCCCAUAUAAAACCAUUCUUGUAGUCUAAUUUUUGAAAUAUUCUUCACUUUUUUUUUUUUUUGUACAAAACAUAAUUUCAUUCAAACUCAACUCAUAGGUAGUACAAAGUUUAAACAGUCAUGUAAAAAGAGGUCCCUAAAGCAUGAUUCCAAGUCUCCAUCUACUAAUCGCCGGCGAGAAGAAUCAAGUUAGAUCCAAUUCUUAGUCGGCAAGAAGAAUCGAGAUGAUAAGAGAAGUGGGCCCGCAUAUUUUCUUAACCAUACGCGUUUUAUGGUUACGUGUCAUUAAUGUUAUUGGGUUCAGUUAAUAUGAGCUUAAAAUAGGCUUGUAUCAUGUUUGUAAUAUUCCCAUUUGGGUUUUCAUAUAAUGAAGUUAGGCCGACAAAAAAAAAAAAAAGUUUAAACAAACAUCAACCUCAUUGUUGGAAACAUCAAAGAGAAGUAGAGUAGACAAAACAAUGAUAUUCUUGAAAUAUAGUAGACAAUGAUGUGUGUCACAAAAGAAUCUGGUGAAAGCGAUAAGAAACUCAAAGACUAGCCAGCUCUCCAUAGUGUUCUAAUGGAAAUCACGGCAACAUGAAUAUGUUUCCUCCAAUUUUCGUUUGUAUUUCAGGGUCGAGAAAGCAAUGUGUGUCGAUGUUAUUGCUAAAAAAUGGCAUCUAAGUUUACUAUGUAUGAAGUUGUUAUAGAUGUUAGUACUCCAGACUGGCUUGUUACUGUCAUUGGAAAAGAGAUUAGGGAAUAUGUAUAAAGUAACCAUGAAACCAAAAAGAUUUAACAAACUAACCAUAGGCAACAAUAUUUUGUCGGAGAUGUAGAUGCAAUUACUGAAGUAAUCUUUUCUUUUUAUCUUUUUAUUUCUCAAUUCUUCUUCUCCAGAUUUCUGUAGUUUCAGCCAGCAGCCUCUCAAUUCUUCUUCUCUAGAUCUCUGUAGUUUCAACCAGCAGCAACUCCGGUCCAAUAUUUUGUCAGAAUCUCGAUGAAACAUUGAUGGCUUGUAAGGAUUCCCUGUCAAUCUCUCUCCCCAUUGCCUGGUUCUUCCUAUUUCUCUAACAUCCUUCUCAUAUUUUUUCCUUUCCCUCAUACCAGAACUAUGGGCUGACCAAAUUUCAGUUUCUCCUUAGAAACUCCACAGUUGCAGAUUCAUUUUUUGUGAAUUUUUUACGGAACUUCAUGUAAUGUUUUCUUAUGCAGCAAUAUCUUUGUUUUCAACAUGCUAUUUUUUUUUGCCAUGUAAAUUUCCAAUAUGUCAUUUUUUUUUUCCUUUUUUGACAUGCUAUUCAUUUCAAAAACACAUUAAAUAUUUACAAAUUUCAAGGUUUUUCGUUCGGAGGAUGCGCUUUUUAAUUUGAUUCAUGCAAUUUCUUAAAAUCACCAUGUAAAUUUUCAAUAUGUCAUGCUUUUUUUCUGUCGACAUGCUAUUCCUUUCCAAAACACAUUAAAUAUUUACAAAUUUCAAGACUUUUCGUUCGGAGGAUAUGUUUUUUUUAUUUGAUUCAUGCAAUUUCUUAAAACCACCAUAAUUUGUUUAUCUUUUCUUUGAUUUUCGCUUGUCAGAUCUUCUCCAAUAUCAUACUCCAUAACCACCUCUCUCACAUAAACCACCACCAUAUCCACCUCACGACGACCACCGCCACGAGAUCCAUAAUCUUUAUUAUGCCUUUUGCAUCCUACCAACGCCAUCUGAGCCUGGCCGGACACUGGAUCUCACGCCAAAACAAUGGUAUCAUUUCACACUGGAUCUCAAGCCAUGAUCUUAAUCGGAAUAAUCUCGGAGAUCAUAUCGUCGUAAGUUUCAUACUUGUUUAACAAAUGGUUUAUUUUGUAAAAACUAUGAUUUUACAAAGUUAAUUAGUCUUUUCUCUACCAUAUCCCACCACAUAAAAGUUACUUUCUUAAGAUUUCUAACACAUGGUUAUUUUUGUUAAUUCUUUCUCGGUCAAAGGCUACUUACUAAUAUUACCCAAGAGAUUAUGAUGACAUUUGUACUUUGCUAUCUAGUUUGAAAUACAAAUACAAGUAGAAUUUUUUGAGUCUAAGGAAAAUAUGAUUUCCAAAAUAUAUAAGAGUUUGACAACUCACUUUCUUUUUCUUCUUAUUACACAUGGAAAAGAUGUUGGGCUUAUGAGCACUUUCCAAGCCCAUCCAAAAUAGUAACCAACCAUUCAUCUAUAUCUACUAAAAGAUAAAUAACAAAAAAAAUUGGUCUCAAUUAUUCAAUUGGACUUGGUUCAAAGUUGAGAUUUGAAGGAAACCAAACCGGUUCUUCGUAAACCAAAGGGGUUUAGAGUGAAUUCGUGGAACCUACUUUUUUAUAUAUUCUCUCUGUUUCAAAAUAUAUGAUGUUUUAGGGAUUUUUUUUUGUUUUAAACUAUGGAUGUUUUACAAACUUCUAUGUAACUUUUAAAUAUAUUUGAUAUCUUAUGACCAUUUGUAUUCUGCAGUCUUUAAUAUCAUUGAUUGAAUUUUUUAAAAUUAAAUAUUAAAUAAUAAUUUUAAGAGAAAAAUAACUUUAUUAAAAUGUGUGUUUUUAACUCAAACAUCCUAUAUUUUAAAACAGAGAGAAUAAUAAAUUAAUCUCUUGUUACGCAUACAAAAAGAUGUUGGGCUUUGAUCUUACAAACCACAAAUUUUCCAUGCCCAUUAAUUUUUUGACAAUUGCUUUUUCAUUUUCCGAGAAUCCUUCAACUAGGCCUGUAAACGGAGCGGAUAUCCAUUUUUUUAAGUUAUCUGUAUCCGUAUAUGUGUCCGUAUUAUCCGCCAAUUUAGUAUCUGUAUCCGGAUCCGGAAAUUUUAGAUAUCCGGUAUCGGAUAUUUGUUAAAAAUCCGAAUAUCCACGGAUAUCCGCGAAUAUCCAGAAAUAGUGUUUUAAAAUCCUAAAAUCAUUAAUAUUAUACAUAAAAAGCUUAAAAUUUUUAUAAAAUAGCUAGAGGUUGAUUAUAUAUACAAAACAUUACAAAAACAAAGAAUUUAUUAAAAUAGGAAAAAGUAUUAAAAGAUUCAAGUGGUGUUCUUAAAAAAAUGACAUUAAUUAACUUCUUAAAUUCUUCUUAGAUAUUUAUUUUUAUUUUUUAUCAUAUGAUUUAUUUAUUAACAUUGAAAAUAAAGUAAAAACAAUUAAAAAUUUGGAAUUACAAGUUUUUUGGGCUUUAACACUUGAAAAAUGAAGUCAUAAGGCUUUUAAGUUAUAAUUUUUUUUUUUUUUUGCCGGAUAUCCGUUAUCCGGCCCAAAUUUUAGGAUUAUUCGUAUCCGUAUCCGUAUCCAGGAUAUCUGUCAUUUUACUAUCUGUAUCCAUAUCCGUUUUUGCCGGAUAUUCGUUUUUUCGGAUCAAAAACCGGAUACGGAUAUCCGCGGAUAACGGAUAUAAAUCUCAGGCCUACUUCAAACCAUUGGAGAAUUAUUCUUCUGAUUAACGAGAAAUUUUCGUGGAAUGUUGGUGAAAAUAUGCUUUAGACGACUAACUUCUCCUUGACCCUUAUAAAUAGAAAGGCAGAAAGCAAAACUAAAUACUUUCUCUAGAAACAAAAUUUAGAAUCAACAUAUUUUUUUUUUCGAAUGCCAUGACAAUCUUAGCUUAAGAAUUACUUUAUCUAGAAACUGUCAAAUUUUUAAGAUGGAUAAAAAAACAGCUUAAAACGGUUUCAUCAAUAACAAGAUUGGACCACAUGCUUUUUUCCAUGUACGUGCCAUAUGAACAAUUCAAGGUUUCGACCAACCUAACAUUUCUUUUUGGCAUAUAACCAACCUAGCAUUUUUUAAUAUUCAAAAGUAUGAUAUCUUGGUGUUGCAUGAAUUUGAAUAAUAAAGUUUAUAUAAUAUAUAUUAUGUAAUUAUUUCUGGUUUUGUUUGCACGUGGUUUUGGACUUUAUAUAUAUAUAUAUAUAUAUAUAUAUAUAUAUACGGUUAAAUACAUGUGUAUGCAUGAAUAUGUGUUAAUUAAUGAUAAUUGAACUCAACUCUCUAUAUUUGCUUAACGCCUUGCUUGAUUGAGGUUUAAUUAUUUCUUGAGCCUAGUAACCGAACCAACCUAGGAUUCGCCGAACCGAAAUCAAAUUGAAUUUCAGAAUAUAUCGAAUAAACCGAGCAUAAUAGCUGAACUCAAAAUUGGUGUAACAAAUCAAAUUGCACAAUGUCGGUAAAUUUAUUAAAAUUCAAUAUUUUUAUAGAAAUAUGAAAAAUACAUCUAAACAAAACGCCUACAAUGAUUAAUUAAAACGACUUAUUUACUUAUAUUUUCAUCAGCUUUUUCCUAAAAACUAAUCAAAUUUGAACAUAACCAAACCGAAUCGAAAUAAAAUUGGGUUCUAGUGUUGAUUUUAAUAUUUUUUUGUCAACAUCUUUUAUAAUGAAAACGGUUAAAAAUCCAAACCCAAGGAACAUAGUUUACAUAGCUAAUAUUUGAAAGCUUUUACAAAACUUAGAAGAUAAGAAUGGAGAAGAAGAACUUUUGUUAUUAUUAUCAACUCAACGUUUACAAUCGUAGUACAUAGACUAUAUAAAGACAAGGCUCUCUAAUGAUAGUACGCCAGGUGUCCUUAGCUGCACAUGAUGAGAGCAUCAAAUCUGUUAUUGAGGAAGCUUCUUGGAAGGCUCCUUUGCGCUGAGAGCACACAACUUUUGUGUGUUGGUUUUGGCGGUAACACCUGAGAAGACUGAGAGAUGGGCUUUGACUGAUCUGAGAUCGAGUGGGCUUGUGGUAAAGGCCCAACUUCGGUUUUGCUUACCAAAGCCAAAACCUCUGUUUGAGGCAGAGUCUUCUUCUCUUCAAUACACCCCCUCAAACUUGUUGUCGGAGGAUUGGAGACACCAAGUUUGUAUCGCAAGGAAAAGAACGGCUCCUGAGCAAGGGACUUCGUGAAUAUAUCAGCCAGUUGAUGUUCAGCUGGAAUGUGUUUGACAACAAGAGCACCAUGUGCUACUCUUUCCCGGACAUAGUGGAAAUCCACAUCAAAAUGCUUGGACCGUGAAUGCAGGGCAGGAUUGGCUGUGAGAUAAACUGCAGAGAGAUUAUCAUAGUACAUUUCAGGAAUCUCAGAUUCAGGAAUACCUAGAGAUUGAAGCAGAGCAGAAAUCCAUUUGAGUUCAGAGGCUGCAAAGGACAAUGUUCUGUAUUCAGCCUCAGUGGAAGACUUUGAAACUGUUGGGUGCCUUUUUGCAGACCAGGAGAUGAUGUUGGUGCCAAGAAAAGUGCAAAAGCCUCCAGUUGAUCGUCUAGUGUCCUGGCAUCCAGCCCAGUCACUGUCACUAUACGCUCGUAGAGUAGAAUCUGUAUUGGCAUUGAUGUCAACUCCCAUAUGUAUUGUACCUUUUAAAUACAUGAGGAUACGCUUAAGAAGAUGGAAAUCAGCAACAGUGGGCUUGUGCAUCUUUUGGCACACAAAAUUCACUGCGAAUUGAAUAUCUGGUCUUGUUAACGUCAAGUACUGCAGUUUCCCAGCCAAACUUCGAAAAUAGGUAGGAUCUUCAAAAAUUUCAUCUUGUCCAGAGACUUUAUCAAGCUGAAGUGGUAAUGGAGUAGGCAUUGGUGCACAAUCAAGCAUUCCAGCUGUUACAAGAAGGUCUUUAGCAUACUUCUCUUGAUUCAAAAACAAACCAUCCUUGUGAAAAUGAGCUUGUAUUCCAAGAAAAUAAUGUAAUGGACCAAGAUCUUUCAUACGGAACUCUUCAUUCAGACAAACCAAAAACUCUUGAAUCAACUGAUCAUUGUUACCCGUGAGCACCAUAUCAUCAACAUACAGAAGAAGGAACAUCAUGUCAUUGCCUUUAAUGUAGACAAAGAGAGAUGGAUCUGGAAGACUGCAAAUGAAGCCGAAUUUUAAUAGAUACGUACUGAACUUAUCAAACCAAGCACGAGGAGCUUGCUUGAGACCGUAUAUAGCCUUUUUGAGUUUACAUACGAAGUCUGGUCUGUUAGCAUCUUCAAAUCCCGGAGGUUGUACCAUAUACACUGUCUCCUCUAGAUCACCAUGCAAAAAUGCAUUCUUUACAUCUAAUUGCUUAAUGUUCCAAUGUUGAGUGACUGCGAGAUGAAGUACAGAGCGUACCGUAGCAGUUCGCACCACUGGACUGAAGGUUUCAACAAAGUCAACCCCUUCUUCUUGGUCAUAACCCUUAGCAACCAGUCUUGCUUUCAACCUGUCAAGACUUCCAUCAGAGUGUAGCUUUGUUUUAAAAAUCCAUCGACAUCCGAACACAUUUUCAGCCAUAUCCGGAGGAACCAGAUCCCAAGUAUCAGUUUCAUGCAUUGUAGACAUUUCUUCUCCCAUUGCACUAGUCCACCCUGGGUCUUUCAAUGCAGACUUCACUGUCUUAGGCUCAGGAUAGUUUUCUUUGACCGUGAACAAUGCAUAUUUAGGAUUAGGCUUAACAAUUCCUGCCUUUGCUCUUGUAAUCAUUGGAUGAGAAGAUGAUGUUGCAGUAGAUGGAUCAACAGAGGAAGCUGCUGAAGUACUUUGUUGUUGAAGUAAUGGAGGAAAGUCACUUUCAGUAAAGAGAGAACCACAGUCUUCUGUUGUUUCUGGUAUAACUGGAUGAGUAAGUGUAGAAUUUGUAGUUUCCACAGAUGAUAUAGCCGGUGGUGAUGAAUGAGGAAGCUUAGAUGUGUCUAUCCUACUCGAAGAAACAUGAGAGCUGUUGCCUAUAGAAGUAGGAUCAAAGCCUAUCGUACCCCCAAUACUCUCAGUUUCUUGAAUAGGAGAAGACACAGCAGCAACAUUCUGAGAAUCAAUAGCAGUUGAAACUUUGGUAUUACCAGACUGCCAAGCUGAAAGUAAUGGAGUAUGAGCCUGAGACUUGUAGACAUUAUACUCCUCUGAAUAGGGAAAACGAUUUUCUGAAAAUAAGACAUGUCUACUUAUAUAAACUUUACCAGAAGGAGGAUGAAGACACCGAUAACCUUUAUAUUUCUCAUUGUAUCCCAGAAAAACACAAUGGAGAGACUUUGGAUCAAACUUGUUAACACCAUAAGGACGUAAGUAUGGGUAGCAAGAACAGCCAAAGACUCUUAAAGAGGUAUAAAUAGGAGGCUUCUUAUGCAAAACUUCAUAGGGACUGACCUUGUUGGUAAGAACAGAGGAAGGCAGUAGAUUACCUAAGAAGUUUGCUGUGAAAAAGGCUUCAACCCAUAGUUCUUGUGGAGCAAAGCUUUGAAAUAACAUAGACAAACCCAGUUCUGUAAUAUGCCUAUGUUUCCUUUCAGCAAGACCAUUCUGUUGUGGAGUAUAUGGACAUGACAUCUGCUGUUUGAUCCCUGACUUUGCUAGAUGAGUGACAAAUCUUGUACUAACAAACUCACCCCCUCCAUCACAUUGAAAACUCUGAAUCUUUAGUUGUAGUUGAUUCUCAAUUAAUUGUUGAAAAGUCAGAAACACUGAAUAGAAAUCAGACUUGCUCUUGAGAGGAUAAAACCAAGUGAAUCUUGAAAAGUGAUCAAUAAAUAUAACAUAGUAACGAAAUCCUUGAGGAGAAACAACCGGAGCAGGGCCCCAUAAAUCACAAUGGAUGCGUUCUAAGGGCUGAGAAGCAACAUAAUUUGAAGAAACAAAUGGAAGUCUACUGAUCUUCCCUAACUGACAAGCUUCACAUAGAUGAGAAGGUGCCUUAUUCAUUACUAUAGACUUAUUGCUUGAUAAGAGUUGCAGGAUCUCACUGUGUGGAUGUCCAAGUCUCCGAUGCCAGACUGCUUCACUGGUUAUUUGUUGACGAUUUGAGUAGAAAGUAUCAUGAACCUGAGAAUCCUUUAGCACGUAGAGAUCAUUGCGUCUGCUCCCUUUCAUGAGGAGCUGUUUUGUCUGCAGAUCCUUUAUUUGAACCGAAUGUGCAUCAAAAGUAACAGAACAAGGAUAAUCAGCUGUUAGCUUGGAGACUGACAAAAGAGAUUUUUUGAUAGCAGGACAAACCAAAACAUCAUCUAGUGGUAAAGUACCUUUCAGAGUAGUAGAACCAACAUGUGUAAUAGGCAGAAAAUCACCAUUGCCAACUAUCACUGAAUCUGCCCUUGCAUAAGGUUCAACACUCUGUAAAGCAGAAGGAGAGUUUGUAAUAUGUGCAGUAGCCCCACUAUCAGAGACCCAUUCAUUACCUGCUGCAUACUCUUGAUCAGAAACUCGCAUUGCAUUCAAAGCCUGAGCAAUAUCAGUGUUGUAGUAGUCUUCUUCAAACCGAUGAUAACACUUGUAAGCAGAAUGUCCAAACUUCCCACAGAUUUGACAUGUAGGUCGGUUAUCAGCUUGAGAACCAGUGCUAAACUGCUGCUGAAAACCUCUACCAUGAGUUGAAUAGGAUCCCGAACCUCUACCUCCUCUGUUACCUCCUCUUGAUUGACCACGACCUCUGUUGUUACCAGAAUAUCCACCUCUAUUAGAGUAUCCUCCUCUAUUGUUGUUGGACUGAGAUGAAGAAUAUCCAGGCUUGUCAAAAUAAAAGGCCAGAUGUGGAGUAACUCCUGUUGCAGACUCAUAUUGUUGAAUCUUAUCAUCAAAGUUUGUGAGUUUAAACUCAACAUCUUCAAAACAUGGACCAGGAUAGGAUUCCAUAGAUUCUUCAAUCACAGUACUAAUGGACUCAUAUUCUUUCCCUAAACCAGUCAAUGCACCAGAUAUCUUUUCAUGUUCAGAAAGAGGAGCACCAAUAGAAUCAAGUUGAUCACACAGAGAUUUUAUUUCAGCUAAAUAAACAGCCAUAGUCUUGCCUACUUUUGUUGUUGAAUGAAUCUUCUUCUGGAGAUCUAACUUUCUAGUAGCAGAGACUCGGUUAUACUUUUUAGCCAGAGAAAACCAUACCUCUUGAGAUGAACGAAGACCAUACACACUCUUAAGAGCAGUUUCUGAAAGAGAUCCAAACAGCCAGGCCAUGACUAGCUGAUCUGAUUGUAUCCAUCUCACAAACUCUGGAUUGCUGAUCUCUGUAGCUUGGCCAUUGUUAUGAACCACCAGUGUUGGAGUCGGACGUGAAAUCGCCCCAGUAACAAACCCUAAAAGCAUCUGACUUGACAAAAAUUGCUCAAACUGUAAUUUCCAGAGCAAAUAGUUGUUGUCAGUAAGCUUUAGAGUCACACACUGAGAAAUGGUAACAGUAGGUCUAUAAAAGGUUGUAGCAUCAGAUUGAUGCUGAGCUUGAAAAGAAGGUGAUAAAGAUGGAGAUGGUGAAGGAACAUGAAAUGAUGGAGGUGGUGGAAGAUUCAUAGAUCCAGAAGGAGACUGAGAAAAGAUGACAGCUGCAGUCUGAGGAAUAAGAACUGCAGGAUUUGAGACUGGUUGAGAACUCAUAGAUUGAGAACUCAUAGAUGCGGAAGAAGAGCUAUCCAUGGCUCUGAUACCAUGAAAGCUUUUACAAAACUUAGAAGAUAAGAAUGGAGAAGAAGAACUUUUGUUAUUAUUAUCAACUCAACGUUUACAAUCGUAGUACAUAGACUAUAUAAAGACAAGGCUCUCUAAUGAUAGUACGCCAGGUGUCCUUAGCUGCACAUGAUGAGAGCAUCAAAUCUGUUAUUGAGGAAGCUUCUUGGAAGGCUCCUUUGCGCUGAGAGCACACAACUUUUGUGUGUUGGUUUUGGCGGUAACACCUGAGAAGACUGAGAGAUGGGCUUUGACUGAUCUGAGAUCGAGUGGGCUUGUGGUAAAGGCCCAACUUCAGUUUUGCUUACCAAAGCCAAAACCUCUGUUUGAGACAGAGUCUUCUUCUCUUCAAUAAUAUUUUGUGGACUCUGUUGAUUCUUUUAAGUUUUAACUAAAUUUUUUUAAAUCCAAACCGACUGAAGGAAAAACUGAAUGCCCAAGCUUUUUCUAUUGCAUGAUAGCAUGACCAAAGAAAGUAGUUGUAUGUCAAGCAUAUUGUCUCUUAAGUAUUAACGCCCAUGCAGUUGUAAAUUAAGCUAGAGAUUUUCGUCCGUUUAUUAUGCAUAAAUUUAAGAUAUGAAUACUUAUUUCAUGAUAUUCCAUAUCUAUUUCUACUAAAUAAACAGUCACUUUACUAAAAACUGCCACACUCUUCUUCUGACACGUGGCAAAACUUUCAAAUUUUGUUGUUUCACUUUCGUAAUCCAUUUUUCCUGAAUUUUUUGACAAAAAAUAUAUAAAAUAUCUUACCACUUUCUUUCUUAGUAACUUCUUCUUCUCUUCUUUUCCAUAACCUUAGAUCCUCCAUUCUUUCUUCGAAAUCCUCCAUUUUUUCUCAUAUUUUUUUUAAAUGAGAAGUCGAGAACCAUCCACUAUCUUUUAAUAUUUUUUUGUUUUAAAUCUAUAUUAAAAAAAUCCACGUUUUUAUUUUCUUCAUAAUCCACGAUCCCUAACACAACUUCAAAUCUCAAAAUCGUUUUAUUGCAAAUGCAGAUGUAGCAGUACUUACUUUUAAUGUAAAAACAGUUCCUAAUCAGGCCUCAAAAUCGUCCUUCAUGCUCGACCACGAGUAUAAUGCGUCCAUCAAUUCCCGGUCCAUCCUCGGCGUUUAUUCAAUACAAGUAAGUUUUGAAAACAAAGUUUGAAUUUUUGUUUUCCUUUCGUUUUUCAUUUCAUAUUCGUUCUUUUCUCCUUCUUUUUUUCUAUGAUUUUACUUUGCUUUUUAUUAGACAGCAAGAGAACAAAAAGUUUGGAUCCUCAAGCUUAGCUUCAAAGAAAUUAAAAUAUUAUUAGAUCCUCAAACCAUGAUUGGAUCAUCAAAUCAAGGUUUCAAUGAAGAAGUUAUUUUUAGAACGAAAUGGAAAGAGAAGCAUGUUCGGUUUGCUAGGAAAUUCGGAGAUGGAGCAAAGACUUUCCACAACCAGUAACGUAUAGAUUGACUUUUUAUAUUUAUAAUUAUGUAGUACGCUCACAAAGUUUGUCGUAUUUCAUCAAUAAUUUGUUUGUUUCAUAUAUUUUUUUUAACUAUAUAAGAUAAUGGAUUCAAUGCACUUCUAUUUUAAAAAAAAAAACUAAAAACAAUAUAUAUUUAAUUUUCCCAAAACAUUUUGAAUUAUGAUGUAAAUUAGUAUUUAUUUUAUCCAUGUAUAGCAGGGGCAUAAUAUUAGUUAUUCGUUAAUGCACCAUGCAUAUUAUAUUAUUCUUGAUUCAAAUGCAUGAAUCGAACAUAAUUAGUCUUGUUUAGCCCAUAUUAUACUUAAUCCAUGUGCUCCAAUCGGAAUUCAGUCGUAAGUUUCUUAAAGAACCUUUAUCAUCAAAAAAACUAACAUUAAUGGUUAUUUUCCAUACAUAUAAAUUGAAACAAACCUUAAAAAAAAGUUAAUCAAGAUUCAAACACUUUAUCGUACUAAAUUGUAUGUGGGUCUUACUAAAUUUAUUCUAUACCAAACAAAUCAAUAUUGCAAGAGGUUAAUUUAGUCCCAGAUUAACAUAGUUAGUAGCAAAUUUUUCAUGUAUAUAUGAAUUUUGUUGAAAGGGACACAAAAUAAAUAACUAAUAGAGAUAGGUUUAUCUCAUAAAAAGAAAAACUAUGAGGGAUAAUAUUAUCCCACAUUGGAAAGGACAAGGGAUCUUGACUAGUAUAUAAGAUAUAUGGGUCUCUCCACUCAUCGCCAAUUGGUUUUGAGUUGGAAGCCCAUAUUCUAGAUUGGCUCUAGCCAUUGAUCUCGGUAUGCUCGUGCAUGGAUCGUCGGGCAACUAUUGGUCGAUGGUGGAUUGGAUUUGGACAUGUACGGAUCGGACUCUGAUACUAUAUUAGAAUAUGGGCUUCCAACUCAAAACCAAUUAGCAAUGGGUGGAGUGACCCAUAUCCUUUAUAUAUUACUUAGGAUCUCUUCCAACUUCCGAUGUGGGAAAUUAUGUCCUAAUAAAAACAAGUAUCUUAAAAGAAAAGGGAAAAUUAGUGACAACCAGAUGAGAAUAGGAUUAAAGUGUUUUUAGUGUCCUACAACCAUGUGGCGGUUGACAUCGUCCAGAUUAUAAUUGUCAUCCAUACUUCCUUGUCUUAAAAGUGAUCUAAUAACAGUGUCAAAAUGAUAACUUCGUCUUCUUCUUCUUUUGUAUUAUAGGACAAUUGCGAAGAAAAUUCCCAAUUUUGUAUAUACAGUAAAACCUCUAUAAAUUAAUAAUGUUAGGGCCAUAAAAUUUUAUUAAUUUAGAGAGGUAUUAAUUUAUAGAAAGAUUUUCCUAAUUUGGUAAUUUCUUAAAAAUUACCAUCUAAAAAUAAAAAAUUUCUUUAUAAGCAAUAUCUUUUUUAAACCAAUUGUAAGUAGAGAAGCAAUUAUUAAGUUUAAAAAACAACACAAAUUUUUUUUAAUAAUAGAGUCAUAUUUCAUUAAAAAUUUUACAUAUAAUAUUUUAAAUAUAUAUCGUAGUAAUUCAUAUAUGAAAUAUAUAAAUUUAUAUCAUAUAUAUAUUAAGUUAAAUAUACAUAUAUAUAUAUAUAUAGGUUUAUAUAAUUAUUAAUUUAUGAUAUAGAUGGGACUAUACGUUUAUAUGAGAUUUUCAAAAAAAAUAUUAUCUUAUUAAUUUAGCGAGUUAUGUCAUAUUUUACAUUGGUCCCAACUCGGGACCGGAAGAAUUUAUUAAUUUAGAGAGGUUAUUAAUUUAUAGAAUAUUAAUUUAUAGAGGUUUUACUGUAUCUCAAGAUUAGUUUCGUUUUAUAGUAACAAAUGAAAAGACUUUGAAGUGUGACCUAUUUAAUAUGUGAUCAUCAUCGGUUAGCAGGCUAGAAAAAUAUUGUACUUAUGUAAAUUAAUUUUGCAUAUUAACUGUUGCAUGUAGUGAUAUAUGUAAGUAUGUAACUAUGUAAAUAAGGUUCCAAUAAGAAUAAAUUUAAGUGCAUGUCUUCAAAAAAUGAGUUCUUUUAAGUUUCUAUAAACUUGUCAGAAACUUAUUUUUUUCAAUCAUGCAACACAACUAAUAAAGUUAUAAAGAAAAUAUGACUGGACCAUUAGAUAGCUAUCGACUUUUUGAAUUAUUGCUAAAUGCUCUAUCCUUGAACAUGUAAAAUAUAUAUAUAUAUAUAUAUAUAUAUAUAUAUAUAUAUAUAUAUAUAUAUAUAUAUAUUUGUGGCUAAAAAUUGUUGAAAUCAAUAAUUUGAAUGUGUAGAACCUUUUUUCAGUUUUUUUUUUCUUGAAUUAUUUAUAUACUUCUUUGAAAGUACAUAAAAAAUACAGUAUCCUAAAAUAAAACGAAGGAAAUAUAAGAUUAUGUGUCACGGUUAAGUAGACCGUAUUAAUUAGAGUUUGUACCGGUAAACCGGAUGUGGUUAUUUCACUAUAUAUUCUCUACCACAUGUAACAGAUCAUUUGUGAGAAAUACAAACUUUUAUCUUUUCUUCGAUUUCUCACGAAUAUUAAUAUGGUAUAAGAGCACAAUUCUUCCGUUUUUCGUCGCAAAUUCCGCCAAUUCUUCGAGUUUACUUCAUUAUCAUCUCCAUCAUCGAUUUCAUCCAUUUCCACCAAUUUUUCUUCGUUUUCUUGAAUUUUUCACUUUUCCGAUCAAAAUCCGCUGAAUACGAUGGUUGCUGUUCACAAUUUACCGCGUCGUACUCUGUGAUCACGUCGUUCAGAUGAAAGAACUCCUCCUAUACGCGAAUCAACUCCGGCUUCAUCGCCAGUGGCUCAUAAUUCUCCGAUUUUCACUCAAAUGGCUUCCGAUCCUCCGAUUGAUUACACGGAUUUGUACUCUCAUUAUGCUUUGACGAGUGGAGACAAUCCGGGGAAUGUUAUCAUCACCGAGGUAUUAGAUGGAACCAAUUAAUCUUCUUGGACUAUCGCUAUGUCUGUUGCACUCGAUGCGAAGAACAAAAUGGCUUUUAUCGAUGGAUCUCUUCCUCGACCUCUUGCUACAGUCACUAGUUUUCGUUAUUGGUCUAGAUCAGUGGCGGAGGUAGGGUGUUAGUAGGGGGUCACUUGACCCCCAUAACUUUUAGAAAGUUUUGUUUAUUAGGCUUAAUUAUUUGGUAUUUGUUAAUAAUUUUGUUUAAAAUGUUAAUGUUGACCCCAUUAACUUAUCUUCAAAUCAUGUUUUUGCACCCCUUUUAUUAAUUUUUUUUUCUAUUGACUCCUGUCAAAUUUAUUUCUGGUUCCGCCACUGGUCUAGAUGUAACAGCAUGGUGAAGUCUUGGAUCUUGAACACUGUGAGUAAACAGAUCUAUAAGAGUAUUCUUCGCUUUGAUGAUGUGUCUGCAAUUUGGAAGGAUAUUGUCCCACAUUGGUUGAGUUUGUGAUUUUUGGGUAGUAUAUGUGUUAUGGCAAUCCUUCUCCUUUGAGCUAGCUUUUGGGUGUGAGUUAGGCCCACACUAAUAUGGUAUCAAAGCCCAGACCUAAUUCUGAUUGUGGACCACCCGUGGAUGUCUACUCCCACAAACUUCACGCUUCAGAUAUCCAGUCUUGAGCGUGAAGGGGGUGUGAGAAUAUUAUCUCACAUUGGUUGAGUUUGUGAUUCUUGGACAGUAUAUAUGUGUUGUGGCAAUCUUUUUCCCUUGAGCUAGCUUUUAGGUGUGAGUUGGACCUACAAUAAAAAAAAUAGGAUGCACGUAGACAAAUUUACUCUCUACUUUUAAAAAAUGACUGGUCCAUGGAAGUUGCUUAGGUAAGCAAAAAUAUUAUAUUAACGUUUGUUAUUACUUGUAUUAAAAACUAACAACUAAUAUGUGUAAUUAUAGUAUCACAUCCAUAGGUCAAUCUGUUGUCUACACUCAUUUAUACCAUUUGAAACUACUAUCCACAUUUAGACUAACUUGCGAAACCGUUUUGUUUUUGCAUCUAACUUGCACGCAUAUGUAUGCACUGGAAAUUUUAAAAAUUCUACACAUAAAGUGAAGGACUACGUACACCCUUUUUUCUUUAGACCAUCCAGCCAACAAAACUUCCCUCCAACAUAAAAGCAUAUGGUAUAUAUAUAUAUCCUAUUGAAAUAACAGUUGGAUGGUGCCAUCAUUGUUUACUUGACUCUUGACUAUACCUUUCAAAACAUUACUAAGCCUUUGAAAAGUCAGUUUCAUCGCAAUCAGAUUUGGUGUUCAAGAUCGAGCCAUUCCUAAAAACUACCUAAAAACCAUGUUGAAAUAUAUAAAUUUAGACAUAGUUGUGGUCAACAUAUUUUACUAAAAUUACAAAAGAAGUUUGUAGGAAUCGUGUGAACUAACUAAAGAUUGUUACGGCCGGUAAAAUAUAAAAAUUAUAUUCCUUAUUAGCAAAUUUAAACCGUAUAAUUGAAGGAAAAAAAACGUAGAAAACAAUAAAGGAAUAAUUGGCACGACGUUAAGCUUAACUUUACAUGGAAUGAUAGAGAGAAAAGUAGAGAUUUCACAUCAAUUAUUUCUAUUUUUUCCUUUUUCUUUGCAUUGCUUUAGUGAUAAUUCACAUUAAUUGGCAAUACACACCAUGUGAGAAAUAUUCAAAGGAACAGAAUAGGACAAGCUCCAAAGAUAAUUGUUUACCUGUCACUUGUCUUGUCCCACUUUCUAAUUGUAUUUGAUAACUCUCUUAUCAUUGUUUUCUACAGUUUUAUCAUUAGUUAGUCACUAUUAUAUUACCAAAAUUAGUUUAGUAAUAGAUUAAGUCAAGGUUAUAUAUAUUCCUAACUACUAAAUGUACAAUAUUAGAUUAUUCAAGUAAACGAAUCAAUUUAAGUUCAUUGAUUAAAAACUUGGCAGGACACGGCCGGCUGAAACCUACCACCCCUACUUGAUCCACAAUCUUUGGUAAGAUAAGACUAAUUAAACCCAUGGGAAGAUACUAAUUAAUUUUGUUUUUCCUUUUAAAAAAUUAUUGAUCUAAGUAAGGUUCACAAUCUUUGGUACUAAGAAAAUUAAUUUAAGUUGGAAAUAAAAAUUAGAAUGAUAGUUAUAAUAAGUUAAAUAAGUUUCGAUAUAAACAAUCAAAACAUGUUCAAAUAACAAAAAAUAUAACUAUAAAUAUUUAACUUUUUAUAUCUAUUCUAUAUAACAAAUAAGUGCUUCAUCUUCAAUGAUACCAAGAAAAUAUGAUUGAAUAUAGGUUAAAACUUUAUUUAAUUCCGAUGUAGUUAAUUAUCUCAUCCAUGUACUAAAACUCUUUUCUUUUGUUAUCUCUAUUGCUCUCAUUGUAAAAUAAGUAGUAUUUAAACAAGAAUUACUAAAAUGAAAAACACACACCUAAAUCACUUAUAUUUUUUUUUCUGUUAAGUACUCCUAAACUAUUUAAACAAAUGCACAUAAAUAUCUUAAUGGUGAUAGUUUAUCAAUAAAGUAUCUGAAAUUAGCAUCCUCUUAUUAAAAACAAAUCUAAAUUUUAACAUUAAAAAAAAAAAAACACAAACUAACAAAUCAAACAAAACACAAUUACACCACAAUAGUCUAAAAAAUAAUAAUACUGGCAUGGGAUCCACAAAACACACUGUCAGAAAAUCUUCAGAGUUUCAGAGAACAAGAAGAAGAAGAAGAAUAAAACAGUAAAACCAGAAAACAUAUCUAUUCUUACAUUUUAUCUCUUCUUGUUCUUGUCUCUUCCAUUACCAGAAAACAUCGAACCAAAACCAAACAAAUUCCCAGAAGGAACAACGUUUAUAACCGGACUCACUCUAAUCCCACCACCUCCAUGACUACCAUAACUAUAACCUCCAUAGCUUUUCUUCAAUGGUGGUUUCGAAAAACCAUUAUUACUCAACGAAGACGAAGCAGAGGAAGAAGAAGACAACGAUGAAGAUUGUUGUAGCUUCACAUGUUCGUUGUGUUUCCUUGAGCUGCUCUGUUUUUGUUUACUCGACGUUGAACCGGUUGAAUUACUCCGGUUUAGUAACGGUAACGGACAUAAACUCCGACCAUAAGUACUUCCACAGUUUAAACUACUGCUUCUCUUAAACCCCCAAAACGACUUCGUAUUGGUUUUCUCCUCCGUCGUGAUUAUCACGUCGUCUUCUUGUUGUUCUUCGUUUUGUUUCCUCUGUUUUCUUGAAUCUGGUUUAGUCUUAACCGGUUUUGUAUCUUUCGAUUCGGGUUCUUUUUUUCCCGGUUCUGGUUUUUUCUUGAUUUCUGUUGGUAAGAUUUUGCCGUUAGAGAAGAGUUCAUCAGCGGACCAAGAACCUUGAUCGAAGCUUUCGCCGGAAUUUACGCCGCCGGGAAUGCAGAAAUCGAAAUCAAUGCUUGAAUUGAGGCUUGACGGUUUAGAGUUUGAUGAUCUUAAGGGACGUUUCUCGAUUGGUAUUGCGUCUGAUUGACAAAAGUCACGUGAAAAUGAGAUUCUUGGACUCAUAUUAGAAUUUUCCGAUAAAAGAUCCACCGCCAUUUUCUUGAAGAAGAAGAAUUUGAAAGGUUUUUUUUUAUAUAUAGUAAAUGAGAAUUUAUGAAAACGAAGAGAUUUUUUUUUUUAGUUUCUGGAGAAAAAGAGGAGAAGGAGAAUUUCGAAGAAGAGAGAAAGAGAGAGAUUUGGGGAGGAAGGUGAAUUUAAUUAUUUUUAUAGGUGAUUUUAAAGAAAAUGAAAUUAGGAAUUAAAAUGAGAAAAUAAUGAAAUUUAGAAUUUUUUUUUUUGUGAAAAAGAGAAAAAGGAGAAUAAAAAAUGGUAAUAAAAGAGGGGACAAAGAAGCGUGUCGUUUGCUACAUAUUCACAUGCAUGGGCCAAAAAAUGGAUAUAUGUUGGUUCUUCACUUUCGUACCUUUUUUUUUUUUCGAAUGGUCUAAUUUUUUAUGUAAAAUAUUGAAACUUUUGAUUGAGAUAUAUUGAAACUUCUGUAAAAAAAAAUUGUUGAAGUCAAAAGACAUGGGCAAAAACUGCAAUGUUUGAAAUGUUUAGAGAGUAAAAUGUUCAGAUUCGUGUUGACCAAUCUGAUGAAGCAGUGAAUAUAGACCAAUGGUGUAAAGUUCACCGACCCAAGACUUUAACAACACAAUUACUAAAUUUGUCUAGGACAUUGUGAAGUUAAGGAGAUAAGUUUGUGGUAAGAGGUAUAAAGGAGAGGAAAAAAAAAACUAAAUUGUUUGGGUAUUGUUCAUGCAAGAUUUUUUUAAAUCGUCAUGAUGCGAGUUUUUUUUUUUUUAAUAAUUGUUGUGGAUCGUUUAUUGGAGAAAUAAAAUAUAUUUGUAUUACAGAAAAUAUAACCAACCAAAGUCAUUUAGACCACUAGGACAAGUGUGAUGUUUUCCGAAUAUCUCUUCUACAUUUAAGUAAGAAAACGUUUAUUCGAUUUUUGAAAAGCAAUGCUUUCUAAGUUGUUUGUUUAGUUCGGUCCCUUUAGUUUUUUGGGGUCAGUUUUAUGUGUAAGAAUUAGUCUUUUAUGUCAAAUUCUGGAUUUGGAUUCUCCAUUCUCUUUAGGUGGAAUUUUGUUUUUUUAAAAAAGAAGUAUUUAGAGAGUUUACCGAGUUUGGAUAUCGGAUCACCAUAUUUCAGGGUAGAUGGAUCAGUCACUUAUCGAUCUUUCGCAUAGUUCGUAAGUUUGGUGACUAAUGACUCUAAAGCACGUUACAAAACAUGUGUUCGAUAAGUUAGGGUAAUAUAGCAUCGCUACUGCUUUAUACGAGAAUGUUGCAUCCCAUUGAACAUUUACUUCACGUUUAAUAAGGUCGAGCACUAGCCAUUCUUCGAAUUUGAUGUAUUCAGGAUGAUAUUUACAUAGGAAAUCAGUUACCAGAAAGUCUUUUUGCAUGUUUGACACCCAAUUAUCACAACCUGAAAUGUUGGUGCUUUUGAUUGAAAUUUACCCCAACAAUAUUGUUACUGCUAAAACUAUUAGUUGAAGUUAGCCAAAAACAUUCAACAACCUCAAUUAAUUCGAUAUUUAAACAUUUUGAUCCAACCAUUUAUUUGCAAUGACUAUACCGACCUUACUGAACCGUACCAACUACAUUUAUCUACGAUGCUUUUUAUGAGUAUUGAAUUAGGAGCUAAACGAUACAAAUGUUGCUGUCUUAUUAUUCAGUUUUUAAAUUAUUAACCUAGUUUGUUCUUGUCUUUACUAAUUUAGAAUAUCCGUUUAUUUUUAAGAUUCUCAGUUUAGGUUUAAUUUAAUGGUUAGGUGAGAAAUUAAUUAUAAGUACAAAAAUCAUAAUAAAAUCAAUAAGGGUGGCAUUGUUGAUGAUAUUUACCUCCAAACUAAUUUAUAAAAGUCAGACACAAUUGUCAAAUUUAUAUAUCAAGAACAUAGUUUUCUUUAUAAGUAGACCAUAAUACAAUUUCGUUGUUAUCCACUUUUGUAAAAUAUGAAAUGUAUAUAUCAAAGAUUUGUUUUUUUUUUAAUUGUCGCUAAUUGUGCGUUUUUGUUCCUUUCAAAUUUGGAUUAUAUAUUUAUUUUCUAUAUAUAUAUAUAUAUAUAUAUAUCUUAUGUAUAUAAAAAAUUUAUUUUUGAUAGAGAAAUGAACUUCUUUGUAUUCUAAUAGAUGGCUCUUUUGUGAAAGAAAAGUCUAUAAUUCUUUAUUUAUACUCUUUCUUUAUUUAAUAUGAUGAGUCAUGCAAGUUUGCUUUUCAUAAAAUUGAAAUCGAUUUUUUCUUAAAUUUGAAGUAAAGAAAUUGUUAUAAGAUAGAAAUAAAGAAAGGGGAAAAGGAGAUUUCACAUUAUCUAGAAAAUAAAAGGGAAUUUUAAAAAUUAAUUAAAAAAUUUGGGAAUUAUAUGAAAAAAAUAGAAGACAAAGUAAGCAUGGCCAUGGGUCCGAUGGCUACGUAUUUACCGAAAACGAAGAAUCCCACUAAGGGAAGUGAAGGGUUAAGAGAUGGUCCACGUUUCCUACUAAAACAUUUUCCUAUCCAUUUGGAUCACCCACGAGCCCACCUUGAAACCAACCCGACCCGAUUCGACCCAACCAAGAAUUGCCUACUUUGGCUGCUCUCGAUAAUACUAACAGGAACUUGUCCAAUUCCGUUAGGGUUUGGUUAUGAUGACGGACCCAAGAAAUAUCGGAUUUUUCUGAUCCUAGUAAACAAUAAAGAUGGUCCAGUCCGACAAAUAGCAUUGGUGAUGUUUUUUGCUGACAAUUACCGAACACUAAUAAUAAAACUGCUUUUGUUUUCUACAUAAAUUUUAUAUAUAUAAGAAGAAGAAAGCUCUCCAUGUUAUGAUACUUGAGCAUCCAAAAUGAAGAUAGACAUAAACAAUCAAAAUUUGUCUAAUGAAAACUUAUUAUUAUUUUUUUUUUCAUCUGAAAACUUAUUAUUUUUCUCCAAAAUUUGAAGUCUAUUCAUCUUCCUUUUUUUUCUUCUAAAGAAACGUUACAUGUGUUUUUUUACAGAAAUAUCUAGCUAAUAGAUUACAUAGUACUAUUUAAUAUUUAUAUACCAUUUAAUAAUCUUAUAAAAAAUCUUUGAAUAAAGUAGUUAAAUAAUUUGGUAAAGUAUAUAUUUACAUGAUCACAUCUAUAAAUACACAAAUCACGUAUAAGUAUACUCCCUCUAUUUCACAAAGAGUGUCAUUCUACCAUUUUUCACACAAAUUAAGAAAACUAAACAAAUGUAAUUUUUACCCCAUAUUAAUACACUAGAUAAUACCUUUUAUAUAAUUAAUAAGCUGAAAUAGUAGGGAUAAAAAGAGAAUUAAUCUUAAAAACUUCACUGAAAACGUAAAACGACACUCUUUGUGAAACAAAUUAAAACCUUAAAACGACACUCUUUGUGAAACGGAGGGAGUAUUUGGAAUUUCAAAUUUUGUCACAACAUCAUUAACUAAAUGUUUGGCACGAAAAUUUGUACCGAACCGCAAUAUACCACAUAUGUAAACAAUGUUUCCCAAAAUUGGUUCUUUAAUUUUGAGCUAAUCAAUUAAAGUUGUUGACAAAAAAAAUUAUAACUAAAUGAACUACAUAAGCCAUUAAUAAUAAUUAUGAACUACAGAAGAUAUAUAAUUAGGGAAAAAUAAUGAUCAAAUGAACUGAAUUAUAUAGAAUGCUCAUGAAUUGGUAUUUUUAGAAUUGAAACACAAUGAAAGUUAUAUUCUUUUUCGAAAUAAUUAUGUUUUUAAUUAUACAACAGAAGAGAAUAUAAGGCGGAUUAGGCUUCGGUGACUUAUUAUCAUUCAGAAUUUUUUUUCUUUUUUGUUAAAAUCUUUUAUCAUUUUGAGUAAGCUCUCUUAGCUAAUCAAGUUUGGAAGCUACAUCAUAGACCAACUAGUUUCGUAUACAGAGAUCUACACGGACACUACUUCUCACGAGGGACGUUGUUAACGGCUAAAGAAGGAUCAUAAGUCACAACCAUCUUAUGGUUGGACCUCCCUUCUAGGAGGUCGUGGUGUGCUACUUACUGUGGCUCAAUGUUAUAUAGGCAAUGGUAGAAGCAUCAGAUUGGGUCAGGAUACAUGGCUCCCGACAAUGCUAUAGACUACCUCCACUUAAUGUUGAUCCGAACUUACCACUUUCAAGUUCUACUCCACACAAGUACGGAACUCUGGAAAGAGGAUAUGCAUGCAAAUCUAUGUCUCAAAUGAACAUAAUGAGGAAUCUUUUUCUCUCAUACUAUAUGUGAAUUUGGAGAGUUUCAGAAUAUAUUUAAAUCCAUAAUCAGAUUAUAAUUUACACUCACCGAAUCCAUGAUAAGAUGUCGGAGAAACAAUCGAUACUUGGCAAAUAGAUUAUUAUUCACAUAAAAGAGAGACAAAAAAAUAUUGAAAAGAAUUUCAGAAUCCAUGUAAUUUUACAUCAUAUUUUCUGGACAAAUGUGUUAAGUUAUUGCUUUUUCUAUGUGAGAGUCACUAAGAAAGUGUUUACCUCUAGUCUAAGAUUCUGAGUUACACAUGGAAUUGUAUGAAAUUGGACAUCAAGAGAAUGAGUUACUAAAGUGAAUUCCUCCAAGUCAAUUGAAUAAACAGCCAAUUCAAGAGAUUAUAUACAUACAAUGAUGGUGAUAAAAUCUUUAUUGAAAAGAAGCUCAAUUAUAUAUCUAUACAUGAAGUUCUUAUGAAUUUGUUUGCAUAAUGUACUUCUAUAGGAGAAUUUUUAUACAAUACUGUCUUUAACCACCUCCAUUAUCAGAUCACAAGUUCCACUCUAAGAAUCCAUUGAAUUAUAUACCUGAGAAAUGUGAUAUCAAGAGAAAAUUGCUUAAACUAAGUUUCUGGUCAAUGUAUGUAGAUAAUUCUGUUCUGUAGGAGAGUUUUUGUAUCAAAAUAUGUGUUUAACAGAUUUUCAAAUGAUUCAUACUUUUUUUAUAUCCAAUAUUGAUGAAGAGUUACUCUGAUAAUCUUAAAAGUAGGUUAUGUAAUGUGGGAACAUGUUAAGAAAGAAAUAUUGAUCUCUUUAUUCCUUAACCAGCGCAUAGUACAAUAUUCAUGGAGAGAAGACUAGAACACAAUUUCUAGCUUCAGCUCUCAUCAAUCUCACAUGCGAGAUUUUGUACAAUCAAUUGCAUAAUAUAUCCUCUCUAAAAAAUGAGAGAUCCUAUCUAUACUACAACUGUAAAAAAUUUUGUUCAAAGUAAUUCGUAAUUAGUCAAUUUUACAUCCAUCAAUUUAAAUAUAUCUCUUAACGUAUAAGACAUACAUAAUAAAGAAUAUCAAUGCUAAACAAGCUCGCUGGAAAAGAUAAGAACACUACUAUAUAAAGUAUAACCCAAAGAUGAUAUAUGGAUUUAGCUAGACGUGAUUCUCCUCAAAGCUAGGGUAGAAUUUCUCGGAAGCCAUGUUUAAUGGAACAAUCCUAUUUCUUAUGAGAUAUGUUUUUCAAGUUUCCGUGCACAUUAUUUGGAGAGAACGAAACAAGAAACGACAUGGCAAACAACCCACCUUACCGACAAUACUUAACCAAGUCAUCGACCACAUAGCUCGAAAACAAAUAUCAUCUCUUCUCGACUUGAGCUCUAACAAAUUCGAGGACGGACUUCGUAUAAUUUGGUUUGGCUCUAGAAAUUCUCAGGGAAUCUUUCUAAAAAAGGUUACAUUCAAUGUAAAAAUGGUUUUUUUUUAGUGAAUAAAAUUUACAUUCAUAUAAAAAAAAGAAUUUUUUAUGUGCUUAUUUUAUAAAAUUCUUCUCAGUAUCACAAGACUUCAAAAAAACAUUGUCAAUUCAUACAAAAAUUUCUUUGAAAAUUUUGAUAGGAUCAAUUUCCUACCACUUUUCUACAAGGUUGUCACAGAAUAAUUAUUUCGUAGAAAAAUGGAAAGAAAGUUUUAGAGAAAAAAGUCAUAGAAAAUUUUCUACGAAACUCAUACAAAAUAUAUAGCCGUAGGAAAUUUCGUAAAAAAUUGGAAGAAAAGUCAUGGGAAAGGCAGUGGUAGAAAAUUUGAAGGAGCAACUUCUUUCCAAAUUCAUACGAAACGUUUCUCGUAAGAUUUCGAAUAAAUCUAGUAGGAAAUUCGAAGAAAAAUCAUGGGAAAAAGCCGUGGUAGGAAAUUCGAAGGAGCACCUCCUUCCAAAUUCCUAGGAAAAGUUUUUCGGAGGAUUUCGAAGAAAUCUCAUAUGGAAUUGGAAAUGGUCAUGGGAAAAGACAUGGUAGGAAAUUCGUAGAAGAAAGUUCAUUCCAAUUUCCUAUGAACUGCCUCUCAUAGUAUUUUUGAAGGAAUGUGGUAGGAACAUUAUACCAACAAAUUUUGUCGUAGGAAAUUUCCUACGACAAAAUUUGUUGGACAUUUAUAAACAUGUGAAAAAAUGAUUGUCUGCCAAAUAGGUGGAUAUGGGUAGGUUGGUGUAAUAGUAUAUAUUUUCAAAGGAAAUAGGUAGGUAAUCUAUAGAAAAUUGAAACUCUUUUUCUUAAUAUAAACUCCAUUCACAUUCGUUAAAAUUACAACAAAAACAAAAAUAUCAUCUACAACAAAACAAUUUUCAUUCCAAAAAAACUAAAAAACAUUUCAUACAACAAAAAACACAGAAUUAAUUUCUAUAAAAAAAAAUACCAAAAAUAUUCUAUAUGCUCGAAUAAAAAAAAGCAUCUUUUUCGGACAUGGAUAGACUAGGAAAGAUUUGCAUCUAACGUGUUAUUUACGACCAAGUAUACGGCAUGCCUCACCGAAUUCAUUACCCUCACAAUGAUCAGGAGUCUUGCUUAAAAAGUGGUAGGAUGUUUUUUCCUUAUCUAAUAUAUGAUAAUAAUGCAUUUGUCAAUAAAACUUUAGUGUGGUCACAUUUAUAUAGAGACGGAAUUAUGCAGAGAUACAAAAUCUGGUGUUAUCACUGGGAAAGUGAUACAUACCAUGUGGGUACUACUAGCGAAAAUGUCCCAGAUAGGGUAGAAGAAUCUACAUUCGCAGAAGAGGCGGUAGGUACGGUUCAAAUGGUACACAAUUUCCUAAAUGCAUCGUGAACCAUUUGAACCGUACCUACCUCUUCUUCUGCGAAUGUAAAUUCUUCUACUCUAUCUGGGAUAUUUCCACUCGUACUACCCACGUUGUAUGUAUCACUUUCCCCGUGAUAACACCAGAUUUGUAACUCGACAUAAUUUUGUCUCUCUAUUUGACCACACUACAACCUUAUCGCUAAAUGCAUCACUAUCACAUAUUAGACAAGGACAAAACAUCUUCCCAUUUUUUAAGCAAGACUCCUGAUUCAUUGUGAGGGUCAUGGAUUCAGUGAGGCUUGAUGCAUACUCUGUCUUCAGCAACACGUUAGAUGCAAAUCUCUCAUUUUCUAUCCAUGUCCGAAAACGAUGCAUUUUUUAUUUAACAAUAUAGAAUAUUUUUAAUAUUUUUGAUAUGAAUUAUUUUUGUGUUUUUGUUGUAUAAUUUUUUUUGUUUCUUUUUGGAAUGAAAUUUUUUUGGGUUUUUCUUUCUGUAGAUGAUGUUUUUUUUUUGUUAGAAUUUUAUCAAAUGUGAAUGGAGUAUAUAUAUCAAAUUUUAUACAGUUUGCCUACCUAUUUUCUAUGAAUAUAUAUAUAUAUAUAUACUAUUACACCAACCUACCAAUAUCCACCUACGUGCGCGACAAUCGUUUUUUCACAUGUUUAUAAAUUCUACGACAUAUUUGUAGAUAAAGUUCCUACCGUAUUCCUUCAAAAAUGCUACGAGAAACUAUUCGUAGGAAAUUGGAAGGAACUAUCUCCUACGAAUUCCCUACCAUGGCUUUUCCCAUGACUUUCCUUCCAAUUUCCUAUGAGAUUUCUACGAAUUUCCUACGAAAUUUCUUCAAAUUUCCUACCACGUUUUUUUCCUAUGGCUUUCAUUCUAAUUUCCUACUAGAUUUCUUCAAAAUCCUACAAGAAACUUUUCGUAGAAAUUUGGAAGGAAGUUUUUCAUUCGAAUUACCUACCACUGCUUUUCUCAUAACUCUCCUUCCAAUUUCCUACGAGAUGCUCUACGGCUAUAUAUUUUGUAAGAUUUUCGUAGGAAUUUUCCUAUGACUUUUUUGACGACUUAUUUCGUAGAAAAUUUACUUCCAUUUUCCUACAAAAUAAUUAUUCCGUGACAACCUGGUAGAAUUGUAGAAAUUGAUAUAUCCUACCAAAGAUUUCCUACGAAUUUGACAAUGUUUUUUUUUGUAGUAACGUAUCUUGUUUAAUUGUGUAGUGUUCUAGAUAUUCAAAUGGGUUUCUCACUGAAAAAACCAACUAUGAUGACCCGAAAGAUGAUUAUCGGGGCUGUUCUAGACGUUGCAACAUACGAGAGUGUGGUUAAGGACGAUGGGGUUAAUCCCAUGACAGUGACAAUGCUACCAUUCGGCGUUGUCUUACAUCCCGCAAAUGAGAAACGCUUCACUUUGUCGGUUGGUUAUCAAUUCGAGACAGACAAGGUUAACGCCGAUGAAGCGAAGAAAAUGAUUUCUCAAACUUUGAGAAACCUUACCAAUGCUCUCCCUCGGGCUGAAAAGUGCCAAUAGAUGUUUAUCCUCGCUCCACGGGAUAGUUGACUCUUUGCUUUGGGCAAUGCAGUGCCUAAUAUCACUAAGUGAAUUGAGGGUCACCUUUGCAUUUGAUUGCUUUGAUAUUAUCUCGAUGAUUGACAACUAUGCAGAGUGGCCAAGCUUUGCAGUGGAGAUGGCCAUUUUUCAAUUUUUUUCUUAUCUCUGUUAGAUUUAUUCCUCGUUGUAACAAUGUUCGGACUGAUUGUUUAGCCAAGAAGAUGCACGUUUGUGGUACUCUCUUUUUCCACGUACGCUCAUCGGUUUCUAAAUGAUUCUCUCUAAAGAAGAAUCUCUUUUCAAUAACUUAAUAAAAUUGGUGUGUGGUAAAAAUAAAAAUUUACGCUGUGUUUCUGUUAAAAAAUAGGUGAUCCAAAGUUGUCUCAAAAAACAUUCUCAUACAUCAGUUCGUUCAAACAACACAAAAUCAUCAUUUAUAAUUAGUUGGAGUGGAUAUAAACAGCUAAAUGCCUCAAUCUAAACCGGAUUCUCUAAAUCUCAACGGGCUCAAGGCAUCUCCUUUUAGAAAGCUUAUUGAUCUUACCAGCCAAUUAUAGAUUCUUUGAUAUAUGCUUUCAUCUUCUCGAAUAUGUUUAUUACCAAAAAAAAAAUUGUAUAAAAUCAAAUAAUAUUAAAAAUUUGUAAAACUUAUAUGAACUUCAACGAGGUUAAGAAGAUGUUUCAAGGUUUACCAAAAAUUAUAUAAAAUCAAAUAGUAUUACAAAUUAAUCAAAAUUAUCACCAAAUUAGUUGAUAUUUACAAAAAUAUCUCUAUAGUUUGGGUCUUUUUGGCCCAAACAGUUUACCUGAUAGUCCAGUAACAGGUGAUCUGGCUAUCCCGUGACAUUAGUCGGAAAGCAUUCCAAAUUCGGAACAGACAGUGUGUGGUGGCCCUUCAGAGAGUAGUCUACUCUGAAGCACUUCGGUGUUUUUCUACUGUAGUUGACCGGAUCAGCCGAUAUGGUUUAUAAAUAAAAAAAAAUGCUAUAAACUUUUUAAAAGUUAUUGAAUUUGAAUUUAUUUUUUUUAAAUCUAUUUGUCGUUUAAUCAUGAAAAAAAAAAGAAUAGGAAAAUUAAACGCGUAAGAUCUAGUCAAUGUGGUCAUGGGAUGGGUCACCUAAUCAAAUCUUUUUCUCCCUAAAAAAAGAAGUAAAAAAAUUUCUCUCAAUUUCCUCGAAGAAGAAGAAGAACAUUAACAAACUUAAAAAAAAAAUGUCAAAUUGUCAAAAACUAAUAAACCAAUCAAAUUCCUCCAUUUUUUCCCUCUUUUCUUUUUCUUCUUCCUCCCAAUCAACUCUUCAGAUUCCAGGAAAGAGAGAAAGAAAGAUUCAAUCUUUAUUAGCCGGAGAUGAUGAAUUCGCCGAACUGGGAACUCCGUGGUUGUUGUAACCGGAAUCAAAAUACUUUCCUUAUCACCAUCGGAAUCUUCACCGUCGUUAUCCUUCUGGUAAGUUUUUUCUAAUGUCCGACUAUAAAGUUUGAAACUUUAUUUGUUAUCUUCGAUUUUGAAUGGGUUUUUGUAAAAUUUAGUCAAAAGGGUUUCCGAUUCACUUAUAAUUUCAACGAAAUUUUGCGAAUUUUGCGAUUGAAGUAUCAAAGUUUUUGUUUUUAUGAUCUGGGUUUUUGGUUGUGACAGCUAUGGAGGACAUUUCUAUUGACUCCAUUUAAACUCAUUACGGUGUUUUUGCAUGAAGCAAGUCAUGCCGUUGCUUGCAAGCUUACAUGUGGAGAUGUAAGGAGCUUUCUCACUUCAACUAUUAGUCUUCAAUGAACUUAAAAGGGUAUAAAGUUGGUUUUAGGUCACUUGAACCCUUGAUUUAGUUUGCAAACAUGAAUUGUCUCCUUCCAUUUUGUUUGAAAGAGCAGAGAAGAUAUUCUGGUUUCCUUAGAUAGAAAGGUUUUUACUUCAGCAAUAUGUCACUGCAUUCUCUCUGGACAUGAUUGUUAGUAGAGCCAUAGAUAAGAGGUUGCGGUAUCCGUAUUUGUCUUGCUAUCUGUUAUAUUCCUUACUUUAUUAGAUUUGUAUACGAUUCUCGCUUGCUUCCAUUGUUAAUGUGUAAACUACUAGCUUCUGUCAUUAUUUAUGAACACACACUGAGUUUACUUGAACAAGUGCAGCUGCUCAAGCUUUAGCUGUAGGUCUACUAUAACUUGCCUAGGACUGAAUGUAACACAUUAUAGCUCUUAAGAAAUGGUUAGAAAGCUUUUAGUGAGGGCUGGUUUAUAAAGAUGUCCCCGGAGAUUGUUAGGGUGUAGAUUCAAUGGCGAUUUUGGUUCUGUGAGAAUAGGAGUGUACAGCUUCAGCUCUUAGUCUUACUAUACUUCUGAUUGUGUUUCUUCUAGAUUGAUUGAUGCAUAUGACAAUAUGCAAGUAUUGCAGAGACAAUGUGAGAUCCACAAUUUUUUCAUUGCAAGUACUGUGUGUAUGAAACUUAUCUACCAUCUUCUCUCUAUGAAUCUUUAAGUUUUAUACCCUCAUAACAUUUAUCUUGAAUAGGCUGUGUAUAGUUUGCACAUAAACCACCAAAUGUGUGCACCAUCUCUCUGUGAUUCUGCAACUAACAGUCACAUAUAAUGUGGAUAAUGUGUUCCUACUAACAAAAUGUCACUCAUUUUGGUUAAUUAACUUCUUAUUGAAUCAAAAGGUAGAGGGGAUGGAGGUGAAUGCAAAUGAAGGGGGUUCGACAACAACACGUGGUGGCAUUUAUUGGCUGAUCUUACCUGCUGGCUGUAAUGCACAAUCUAUCUAUAUAUCUUACUUAUACAAAUCCAUUAUUUUUCGAAUUUAGUCUUAGCCUUUUUGUUGUUGAAUUGGUUAUAGAUCUUGGCUCAUCAUUUUGGGGAAUGGCAUUGAUUCUUGCAUCUACCAAUCUGCUGACAGCAAGAAUAGCUGCUGCUGGUCUGGGUCUUGCUUUAUUCAUCGUCCUAUUCAUUGCCAAAAAUGUAAGAAGAAGUCAUUAUUUCUCUUAUCUAACAAAGUUUUAUUUCAUUAACAUCAAAUACUGAGAUCUUCAAUUUUGACAGUGGACUCUUCGAGGUCUUUGUAUAGGUGUGUUGUCUCACGAAUCCUCUUGUUACAUUUUCUUAGUAAGCACCCACCCAAAAGCCUUACAUAGUUAUAUAAAUAUCAGGUUUCAUAGUUUUCCUCGCUAUCAUCUGGGUUCUACAAGAGUUAACUACAGUCAAAAUUCUCCGUUAUGUCAUUCUGUUCAUUGGUAAGAUACCAUUAAACUCUUCUCCUUCUUGUUAACAUCAUUCAGCCUCAUUUAGCCUAUAUAAAAUUGGGAUUCACAAUGUUACAGGUGUGAUGAAUAGCUUAUUCUCAGUUUACGGUAUGUAAUUCCUUCGUCCCAUUUACUUCACUUAAAAGUUAUGACUUAUGACCAAUAAUAAUGUGGCUGCGAUGUAUGGAUAUUAGAUAUCUAUGAUGAUUUGAUAUCUCGGAGGGUCCAUUCGAGCGACGCUGAGAAGUUUGCAGAGAUCUGUCCUUGCUGUACCGGUUGUGGCUGGGGUGUCAUCUGGUUAGAUUUAAAUACAACUCUCAGUUAUCAGAUUCUGAAAGUGAAAAUGAAAUCCUUAUUCUAACACUUUGUUUCCAUUUCAGGGGAAUGAUUUCAUUUGCGUUUCUUUGCGCGUCGCUCUAUCUCGGCCUAGUGAUCCUAUCAUAAAAGGGUACUCUUGUAUGAAUUUGUUGGUGUCUCUCAGGUUCAAAUUCUUCCCAGUGAAAUGCAGAGACAAUAGUUUGAUAAAAGCUUGAUUCUUUAAAUCCCUUGGUGUGCUUGGGAUUUACAUUGUUGAUUGAAUGUAUUUUUUUUUUUUAGAUUUUGGAGUGUGUUGAAUAGAAUUCAUUGACAAUUUGAUUUGGUCUGUUUAUUGCAUUAAAAGUUCGUUGACUUCUUUAACCCAAAAAAGUCCGUUGACUUCUUCAACAACAAAAAGAAAAAGAAGUCGGUUGACUUUCUAUAAGCUUCUAUUUUUGAACCUUGAAAUUGUUAAAAGCAUUAUUUUAAUUAUUUAUUUAGUUCCUAUUAUUUCUUGUAAGUGAAAUAGAAUGUUUUGAAGAUAAUUGUCGUAACGGAAAUUCCUAAGUUAUAAAGAGAAUACAACGAAAAAGUCUUUCAACUUUGAUCAAGUCCAUUUUAAUUCAUCCAUCUACACGAAACGAAUUUGUUAAAACCAAAACGUUGAGGACUUGAGGUGAUUUUUUCACUUAAUACACCAAAAUUGAGAAAAUUGUUUUUUACUUUUUACCUAUGUUGCAUGGAAACGAAAACGGAAACGUGGAAGCGAAACGUUUCGGAAACGGGAAACGAUUUUUUUCUAAAAUUAGGGAUUGGAAACGUUUUGGAAACGUGUACACAUAUAUAAUAUAUGUAUAUAUAUAAUAUUAGCAUAAAACUAUAAAAAUGGUUUAAUUAAACAAUAAAGUCUAAAACAUCAAAUAUUAAAUAGGUUAACUAAAAUUCUAAAAGAAAAAAGAUUAAAAGGUUCAAGUUCAAAUAUUUAAUUUAGACAAACAUUUUCAUUUUCAUUUUCAUUAGUUUCAUCGUAGAAUCAUAUAAAGAUGCCUCUAAAUCUAGUUUGUCGAUAAAAAGAUCUUAAAACUCAGAGUCUUCCAAAAUUAGUUAUAUGUAUUAUAAAUUUUAAUCUUUUCAACUUUUAUUUAUUAAGUUUCCAAAGUCAAUAAAAAAAUAUUUGUCGCGUUUCCAUUUUAGAAACGUGAGUUUCCAAACAUAGAUUUUUAGGAAACACGUUUACAUGACGUUUUUCGUGUUUCCGAAUAGUUUCCGUUUCCGAAACGUUUCGGAAACGGGAAACGGAUCUCGAAGAGAAUUUCCAUGCAACAUAGCUUUUUACUAAAAAUAGUUAGACAAAAUUUGAAGGCUUAUUACGGAAUAUCAUUUUCCCACGUUUCAAUGAACAACCUAACAACUGUAAAUGGUGCUUAGAAGGUUUUUUGGUAGUUCAUAUCAAGUUUGUCAUGUCCUUUAAUUUUUUGUUUUUUCUGGUUAAAAUGUUUAAUACCAUGUACAACACAAUAUGGCUUUAGUAGGAGGGGUCGAAUAUCGAAAUAUCAUUCAAUUUUCUUUGGUGGUUUUUUCAAGAAUUAUGCAAAUAAAGUUGUAGGAUAUCUAACUAGUCCAGGUUUGAUCCACGUUGGAAACAAAAAACACAUCUGUGUGGAAAGUCUGGGUUUGGGCCAAAAGUUUACUUGGUAGUCCAGUAACACGCGAUUUGGCUACCUCCUGAUAUUAGUCGGAAAACAUUUCAAACUCAGGACAGGCAGUGUGGUAGCCUUUUGGGGAGAAGUCCACUCUGAAGCACUUCGGUGUGUUUCUACCGGGACUGACCGAAUCAACCGAUAGAGUUUAUCAAAAAAAAUCUAACUAUUUUCUCGAUGGAGAUAUAACUAAUUUGACCGAAUACUAUAGAAUAUGUUCUUCUCCAUAAUAUGUUGGAGUUGGAGAUAUGCCAUAAAAGAUGUUGACACAUUAGGAACAAGAACCGGGUUCAAUAAGUUGAGGAAUACCGAAUACCAAACCGAACACCAACUUGGAGUCGUGGAGAAGAAGAUGACGUAAAGGUUAGAUGUGGAGCAUAACGAACUCCAUGUCACCGCCUAAUUACUUUUUCAACCAUUGACGAAGUCUUCUAACAGUAACCCUUCAUUCUUCAUAUGAUCCCUACUCCACCGUCACAUGAGAUUAGAAUUCUAUAAUUUAGGUUUAUGGCUAUUUUAUGACAUAGACGAAUUCAAUAUCUAAAAAAACACAAUUUAACCUAGCUAUUACAUAUGAUGUCGUCAUGCAUGAUAAUUGCCAACUAGUGGACGGAAGUUUGUAAAAGCUUGCAUCCACGAUUUAAAAUAUUGUUUGCAUGUUGUAUAAUUGAACACGUGAUAUAAAAAUUCUAAAUCUUUCGAUAUCAUUGGGGAAAUAUACUUUUUUGGAAGUUUCCCAUCGUGGAAAGCUCUUACCCUCUGCUAGGGUAAAAUUUCUUACUACUUAUAUUUCUUUAUGCGGAAGCCGGAAGCUAUCUUAUAAAAAAUCGGUCCAUUGACCAUUAAAUGGCCCAUUUCUGGAGUAUAUGCCCGUUCGUUCAUGUAUGAUGGAAAAAUUGGAAUCACACAUUUGCUCGAUAAUAGGAGCGAUUAUGGUGGUUUAGGCCAAACACAUGGACCAAACAUCAGAUUGCGUUUUUUUUCCACUAAGCCAAAACAAAAAAAACAAAAAAUAGUUUUGCUGUGUAAACACAACACACGAACAAAGGUUUUGGCAACCAUUAUCGGUCAUGUCGUAGUGAAAACCAUCCAUAUUGAAAAAUUCAUUCGAUAAAAUCUAUAUUUUGUACAUAUUUUUAUAGUUUUAGAUUUAUAUUCAAGAAUUGUUUUAUAUCCUUUUUUAUGUAUUAUUAUUAUGAAGCAUAUUAUCUUUUAUCACAUAACAAAAUAAUUUUAAAAAAAAAAUCCAUUUUAAAAAAAUUCCCAAAGCAUGCUUUCAUGUGUAAUAAUAAAUAUUAAAAAUGAAGAAUAAAUUAAGAUUUUGGUUUUGAAUUCAAUAAUUUCGUUUGUAACUAUACUAUUUUUAGUUUUGAUAUCCGGAUUUCGCAAAAAUAACACUUUCUAUCAAACUACAUUAAUAUGAUAUAUUAUAUAUUUUAUUGGGGUUUAUAGAUAAAGUUUAAAAUUUUAAAUCUGCAUAUGGAGCGGUUAUAUUUGCGUAUAUUAUAUUUUCUGUAAUCGAAGAAAAAUGAGGCUUCAUAUACAGUUGGAUUGCUAUUAAUGUUAUUUCUUUAUCAAACCAAGCAAGUGAUAACAAAAAUAAAAAAAGGUAUUAAUGUUGAAUUGUAAAUAAAGGAAGAAAUUUAAAUUAUGUCAUUUCAGAAGAGGAAGUAUGUCACAUGUAAAUAGAUCAUUGAUACUUUUCAAGAGAACUUCCACAAGAAAGCCAUUGACUUCUACCUUUCUAAAUUUCCAGCUUGACCCAUUUAUUUCUCAUGAAGUUAUAAGAACUUUACGUACUAGAUAUUUAAUAUGUUUACAAUAUUCAGGAAUUUAAAAAUAUGGUAGUAUCAACUAAUGUUGAAAUCAUUUGAUUUGACUUUUUAUUACCAAAAUUCAUGUAAUUUCUUUUAGUUCUUACCAAAAUAUUUAUGUGGUAUGCUAAUAUUCGUUUUUUAUUCUGAGAAAAUUUAACCCCAACCAAAAUAUUGAGUGGCAAGCAAUGUUCAACUAAUAUAUGAUAAGGAGAACAAAAGUUAUGGCAAGUUUGGAAAAAAAAAUCAAUUUAUUAGCAUAUUUUUGACUCAUGCGCAUCUCAAACUUUUUUCUUGAUCCUUCUUCCUUAUCUUAUCUUUUCUCAAAUUCUAUAUUUCCAAAAUAAAACACGCAAUUUCUAUUAUAAUUAUACAAUAAAAAACUCAAAUUAUCUUCCAAAAAUGUCUUUACCACUAUUUUUCAGAUUUCUCCUCCACGUCUACUGAUUGUCAUAGAUAUGUUUUAAAGAUGAGGCAUUAAUUCUCUUCUUGUUCACACGUAAGUAUAUACUUUUCAUAAUAAAAAAUUGUUUUUUUGUUAAUUCAUACUUUUCAUAAUUUAAUUCAAGGAAUUCUCGUGAACCGAUUUCUAAAAACAUUUACAAAAUUAGUUAAUUAAUGCAUAUCUUUAUUUCUACAUAAAGAAACACAUACAAUAUUUACUAUAUUGCUUCUAUAUUAAUAUUCUUCUUUCCAUAUAUAAAUGAUUGAAUUUUAACCCUCUUACAAGGAAUAUAUUUCAUUUACAUUAUAUAUAGAUUACAAGAAAAGCCCAUCAAUCUAUUAUUCUCUGAUUCAGCGAAGAAAAUAAAUAAAUAAACGGCCAAAAAAUGGGAGCAGACGCAAUCCAAACGAACGGUCACGAUCAAACCAAGUUAACCGGCGGUGAAGAGAUCCAACGGCUGAGAUGUUUCGUGAAGAACUACGAAUGGGGCAAACUCGGACCAGACUCAUUGGUGGCGAGACUCCAAGAGGCUAAUACAGGACAAAGAGUCGACCCGGAGAUUCCUCACGCCGAGUUUUGGAUGGGGACUCAUGAGUCUGGACCGAGUCAUGUUGAAUUCGGGUCGUUGGGUCAUGGUGGGUCUGAUAAAUGUAUGGUUACAUUGAAGUCGUGGGUUUUGGAUAAUCCGGAUUUACUCGGGUCUAAAGUCGUGGACAAGUGGGGUUGUGAUCUUCCUUUCCUCUUCAAGGUAAUGGUUAAUUUCUCUGUUUUUUUUGCUCUGUUUUGAAGAUGUUGCAUUUGACUCUGUUUUUCUUAUUAAUAAAUUGGAUUUUUGUGUGUUUUUAAAAGUUAAAAUAUACAGGUUUGGGUAUUAUCUUAUUAUAUAAACACGUAUAUAUCUACCAAUCAAAAUAUACAUUUUCAGAGUCUGUUUUAUGGUCAAUUUCUCUGUUUUCUUUCCUCUGUUUUGAAGAUGUUACAUUUGACUCUGUUUUUUUUUGUUAAAAAUUUGUUUUUUUUUAAAGUUAAAGCAUAGUUUUGAAUCUAAUGAUAAUUUUUUUGGUAUUGAAUUGUGAAAAUCAUUGUCACAUCUAAAAAAUUUCUGUUUUUUUUUUUUUUUUUUUUGUUCUGUUUUGAAGAUGUUCACAUUUGACUCUGUUUUUCAAAUAAAAGAUUUGGGGGUUUUUUGCGUGUUUUUAAGAGUUUAAAGCAUAUAGAUUUGAAUUUAAAGAGAAGUGUUUUGGUGUUGAAAUGUGAAAAUUUUAGGUGUUGUCAGUGACGAAAGCAUUGUCGAUUCAAGCACAUCCAAAUAAAGCUUUAGCAGAGAAAUUGCAUAGAGAAGAUCCUCUUCUUUACAGAGACAAUAACCACAAGCCUGAGAUUGCUCUUGCUGUUACUCCUUUUCAAGCCCUUUGUGGUUUCGUACCUCUUAAGGUACACAAUUUCAGAUCUUUCUCUCUGUCUAUCAUUCUUUGCAAAAAUUUAGGUCAGUUUUUGGUUCAGAUCAACCGAAAUUACACAAGGGUUUAAGUUCUUUAUAGAUCCGGUUUGAUCGAAAGAAACCGGUUUGAUCGAAAGAAACCGGUUUGAUUGUUUUGUUUUAUUGUUCAAUCGUGAUCAACCGAUUGGAUCUAAAACCAAAAUCGCAUAGAAGUAUCAAAUUAGGUUUAAUAUUGAUUAUUGUAGUACAAAAACCGAAAAAUCUUGAUAGCUAAACAUCUUGGUUGUUACUUGUGCUACAAGAAAAAUUGAACUGGUUUUGUGCCUAUAAUUGAAUCAGGAGUUGAAGGAGGUUAUCACCAAUGUACCAGAGAUCACAGAGCUUGUGGGAAGCAAAGCUGCAGAUCAAAUCUUCAACGUCCAUGAACACGAUGAAGACGAAAGAGUCAAAUCCGUUGUCCGGUUGAUCUUCACGCAGUUGAUGUCCGCAAGCAACAAUGAGACGAAGCAAGUGGUAUCUCGGAUGAAGAAUCGUCUGAUCUCGGAGACCAAACACCGUGAACUGUCGGAGAAAGAGAAUUUGGUUUUGGAAUUGGAGAAACAGUACUCAGGUGACAUAGGUGUGAUUUCAGCCUUUUUCUUUAACUACGUCAAGCUUAAUCGAGGAGAGGCUUUGUAUUUGGACGCAAACGACCCACACGCUUACAUUUCCGGCGACUGUGUCGAGUGUAUGGCGGCUUCAGACAACGUUGUUAGAGCUGGUCUCACUCCAAAACACCGCGAUGUUCAAACCCUUUGCUCUAUGCUUACUUACAAAUUGGUAACUUUCUUUACACGCUAACGUUUUAGUACCUUUCUUUACACGUUAAUGUUUUGGUUCAGCUGAUAAACCGAAUAUCAAAACCAAACUAGUAAUUGUUACUGUUUUCUUUGUUUGGUUUAUUGAUUAAUCGUACCGGAAUUUGUUCAGGGCUACCCGGAGAUUCUGAAAGGAUUUCCUCUAACUCCUUACGUUACAAGGUAUCUUCCUCCAUUUGAUGAGUUCGAAGUGGACCAUUGCGAUCUACCUGGUGGAAAUUCGACGGUUUUUCCGGCAGUACCGGGGCCUUCGGUUUAUUUGGUUAUUGAAGGUCAAGGGAAAUUGCAAACCGGUUCAUCUCAAUUGUUGGUUAACCGAGGAGAUGUUUUGUUUGUUCCGGCUCAUAACGAGGUUCACGUAACCGGAGAAAGUGAUGUGAUGAAGCUUUACAGAGCUGGAGUCAGCAGCAGAUUCUUCCAAACACUCUAGGCUAAAAAUUUAAGUAUAUGAUCUUUACUAAUUACUAUAUAUAUUUAUAAGCAUUCAUAGGGACCAAUUUUCCAAAUUGGUAGGAAUGUGUUGUUUAAUUCCCCGAUGGUGGCCCAUUGCAAAUUAAAAGUUCAAGGAGUUGUUAUUUUUCUAUUUUUAUUUAUAUAUAUACAUAUUUAAACGAACGAACUUUAUAUGUAAAAUAACUAAAAAAUCUUUUUAUCCAAUGUUUUUUUUUUUUGAUAAAAUCUUUUUAUCCAAUGUUUCAGAUUAGAAAAUGUUAAUGUGAUAUAUAUUAUCACGUGUAUUUGUGUUAAUUCGUGAAAUUCCAACGAAAACCUAGCAAUAAUGAAUAAAUUGGUUCAUGUUUCUUACAUAUUAUUUUAAGUGAUAUAUGUCGGCGUCAGAUUUCUUCCUCUCUUCUCUUUUUUAGUUUUUUCUUUUUCCUUUGUAUCGAUUUCUUUUAGCCGGCGGCGGCUCUUCCUUCUUUGUGGCUUAAUCAGAGACUUUUAAGUCGACGGCGAGCAGAGGUAGUUUUCUCAGAUGGAGGUUCGUUGGUGGAUCUACAAUGGGGAACUAUAACUCUCGACGACGGCAGCAGAUCUGGUGGAUUUCUUCGUCAGUCUCUUCGCGGAGGUACCUCUCCUCCGAUGAGCCUCUUUGGUGGCGGCGGCUCAGUGUUAAGAAGGGACAGAGGUAGGCGAAUCGUGGUUUUUCGAGCUUGGCUGUGAAGAUCCUAUCGAUCCCGGGCAGAUUUACAUGAUUCAAGGCUUUCUAGCUAUGCUGCCGCCAACGACUCCCGACAGAGAAUAAAUUAGAUGUAGGGGAGAUAAGAAAACCAUUUGGAUUGUAGAAGAAGAAGGAAAGCUCUCCAUUAAUGCCCCGGCUUCAAGAAAUUUUUGUCUCAGCCCGGUUAAUCCGGUUGAGUAUCAGUCGGAUUAGUAUGUCCGUUUUAGGCUUAGGACCGGAAUAGUGAAAGCCGAGGAGUCAAAACCCUUCUGAAGUUGCGCUUUUGGCGUAGAUGCUAUUAGGACACGCUCUACACUCGGAUCAUGAGGGACUAAUAGCUUGGAAUUGGUUUGGAUCUCAGGAGAGGAUUUGAUUUUCUUUGUGUUAGUAAUUGUUUUCGUGUCAUUGGGUGAAUUUAGGUGGUUUAAGAGAUGAUUUCACUUAGAGUCGUGGUGUAAUUCAUCUCGUUGUGGUUGGAAAAUACAAUGAUUUUCAGUUGGGUAGCGUUGGAUCCGUUAGUGUUUCAGGGUUUUAUUUGACUAAAUCAUUGUAUUUGAGUGAAGUUUGUCGAGGUCAAAUGAUUUGUAAUAUCGAUUUGGUGAAUGAAUAGUUGAUGUUGAGCAAAAAAAAAAAAAAAAAAAAAAAAAAAAACACAAUUUUUCGAUGCGAGGACUCUUCUAGGCUUCUAGCCUAUCAAUACUAGUAUUUUUACAGUCACUUUCGUCUUUGGUGAUGGAUGAGUAAAAAUGCUUCUGGGUUAUUUGGAUAUCCGAUCCAUUUUAAAAAAUCUUGCACAAAAAAUUUGUUGGGUCGGAGUAUAUUUAACCCAACUCAUACACCGGAUAUUCCAUAUUUAAUAAUUACAUAUUUAGAAGAUUUGAUUAAGAUUUAUAAUUAUGAUUCUCCUAUCAUCUUUGUUUGAUUUGUUUUUAACUGUUUUGAAUUAUCAUAUCUUACUAGGAUCGGACCCACGGUCCACCGCGGGAGAAUAUUGGUUUACAUACGUUGCGUUUAAUAUUGUGUGUUUUUUAGUAGAACGAAUCGUGUAGUAUACUUAUAAAUAUUCAUAAUAACGAAUUGUAGAGAAAAUGUAAAAUUGUUUAUAAAUAUACCCAUCGUAUUAAUUAUGAUUUACAAAAUAGAAUUUUGUGUUUAAAAAUUCUAAAAUUAGACGAUUCAUGAGAAUUAGAGCAGUCAAAAUAGGUCAAAAACCGCGGGUCGAGCCCACAUCAUCUCACUAUGGAGCAGAUUUGAGAAAAUAUAUUAAACCCACAAAUAAGCAGACCACAUGGAUUAAUUCGCAGUGGGUCAUAGGUUUAAUCAGUUUUCAUCCGCGGGUUGGCGGAUCAGCCCGCAUAUUAGUAUUUAUUGAUAAAAUUAUAAUUUAUUCAACAUGCGGUAAUUUAAACAAACUUUUAAUAGUAUUUUGAUUUAUUUAUUUAUUUUAGUAGUAUUUUAAAUUUUGGUUACUUUAAAAUUAUUUAAACAAAAUCCAUGGACAAUCCCGCAAAUCCGCAUACAUUCGCGGAACGGGUUUGUAUUUCAUAUAUGCUACCCGCGGGUCGUGCGGACCGACUAACUACAAGUCAAAAUAUUUUUUGUCUAUCGCAAAACGGACUUAACGGGACGAAUCAACUCGCUUUGACAGUUCUAAUGGGAAUAUUAUUUAGUCAUACAACAAAAUGAAGUUUGGACAUAGUAAUAAUAGAAUAUGUAUCUUAUUUGUUAGAUGAGAGAUUGAAAGAUGAAGUAUAAUGAUUAAAAAUUAAUUUUUUUUUCAUGAUUCACAAAUUUAAUAAAUACUUAUCAUCUUGUUGAAUAAUUCUAAAAUCAUAUUCAAGAAAUCUUUAUAAAUUGAAAAUUAAACUUUUUAGGUAAGCUAUAUGUAUGAAAAUAUCAUAAUUUUGAUUAAUCUAAUUAAAUUAAAAUUAGUUACAUGGAUUUCAUAUCUAUUUAAUUUACACGACCAAAAUAAAAAUAUCUAUUUAAUUUACAUGACCAAAAUAAAAAUAUCAAUUUAAUUUAUAAAACAGAUGGGUUAUUUGUGAUAAAUUUUCUAGAAAUCUUUAGAAGCAAGUAAAAUAUCUUUCAAUUAAUGAUAAUUGGCUAAAAUGAGCGAAAUUAACGACAAAAACGUUGAUUGUUAUGAAAUUAGUCCCAAAAAUAUAUGAACAAAUUUAUUAUACGUAAUUAAUGUAUAAUAUUGUUUGGAAUAUGCUUUUAUUAUUAGUUACCAUAAGUACAAUCAGAUUUUAUUUGAUUUCCAUAAAUAUUUGUUUUUAUUUCAAUUUUUCAUUAUUAAUUCGAAUUUAUAUUCCAAAAAAAUUUCAAAGAUCCGAUUUCAGAAUUUCGGGUCAAUUUUCUGAUUUUAACCCGACCCAUUUUCAAUUGUACUUCUCUUUUAAUAGUAUAGAGAUUAUAUAAAGUAUGGUUUUCAAAGUUAAUAACUCAUACGAUCGUAACACAUGGAAAAUCUAUCGAUCUUAAAUUUUAACACGUAUAAAACAAAAUUUCCUUUUUAAAAUAAUAAAAAAGAUAAUUGUAAAUAAUUAUAAAUUUAAAUAAUUUUAAAAAUAUAAAAUAACUAGUAUUUUUACAGUCACUUUCGUCUUUGGUGAUGGAUGAGUAAAAAUGCUUCUGGGUUAUUUGGAUAUCCGAUCCAUUUCAAAAAAUCUUUCACAAAAAAUUUGUUGGGUCGGAUUAUAUUUAACCCAACUCAUACACCGAAUAUUCCAUAUUUAAUAAUUAGAUAUUUAGAAGAUUUGAUUAAGAUUUAUAAUUAUGAUUCUCCUAUCAUCUUUGUUUGAUUUGUUUUUAACUGUUUUGAAUCAUCAUAUCUUAUUAUAUAAAGUAUAGUUUUCAAAGUUAAUAACUCAUACGAUCGUAACACGUGGAAAAUCUAUCGAUCUUAAAUUUUAACACGUAUAAAACAAAAUUUCCUUUUUAAAAUAAUAAAAAAAGAUAAUUGUAAAUAAUUAUAAAUUUAAAUAAUUUUAAAAAUAUAAAAUAUAAUGGUAAAUAAUUAAUAUUUCUAUAAACAAUUAAAAAAUGUCAAAAUAUAAUAAUAAGGAAAUUAUACGUUUUUUAUAAUUAGAAAUAUAUAUUUCAAUUAAACAAGAAAAAAUCAGGCAAAUUUAUUAAAAAGGAAACAUAUGUUAUUAUAAAACUAAUAUGUUCUAUUUCUGUUUCUCAAAGUUAGUAAUUAAUAGUAUUAUAAACCGUUAUCAGUCAAAGAUUUUAUCAUGAUUUAAUUUAAAAUUUGAUAUUAUUUAUCUCAAUUUCCUUUCCAAUUAGAAUAUAUGAUGAUUUAAUUAAACUAAUAUUCAUAUUAUUUAUUUGAGUUUAUUUUUUGAGAGAUCAAAUUUUUUUUUCUUUUUGUAAUAUUUUUUUACUUAACUGUGUUUUUUUUUCCUUAAUUAUUGUGGAUGUCGGAUUCACACACUCAAGUAUUUUUACUAAGCGGGAAAGAUUACUCUUGAGGGACAAAAAAUGAAUAUGUAAAAAGCUAUGAAUUGAUACAAAAAUUGCUAUAGUAUUUCUUGCUCGAGGAAAAGAUCCCCUUUACAUGGCCCUUGGCCAUUAUAUUUAUACAUAAAAAACAACAUUUAAGUGGCUAAUUAAGUACAAUUAUUCUUUCUUAAAUGUAUCCGUUUUGGUCUCAGAAUUUAAUGCUCAACGUUUGAAUUUGAAUUGAUUCCGACCUUCAUGGGCCUCGCCUCUCAGUCCAAAUUACCUUGAACCGACUUAACUAUGACUUCGACUCGUAUCGAGGUGCAAUCAAUUCGAACUUUCUUUGUGGUGUCACCACCUCGACCGCACCCUUAUCUUACAGACCUAAUGGGCCUUAUCCCUUGUGGGCCUUCGUCUUGACUGCGUGGCAAUCUUUGGUUGGUCCCGGACUACUAGUGCGGGAUCCGACACCAACAAUUAUGAUUGUAGUAUUUUUAGAUUGUUUAUUUCAAUUUCUCUUUUCAUAUUAAUUAUCAAAGAUUCAUAUAUCAUCGUGUUUAUAAUUUUUUAUUUUUAGUUUAACAGUUGUAACUUUAAAUUAUUUAUUUUGGUUUCUACGUUCAGUUUAAUAUAAGAUUUAUAAUAUAUCAAAAUUCUAAUGAUUUUAGAUAGCGACAAUGUCAUGAUUUAAAUUACAAUCUUAUAUUAUUUAUAUCAAUUUUAUUUUCUAAUUAGAAAUAUAUGAUGAUUUUAAGUAAAUUUUUAUAUUGUUUAUUUGAAAUUCUUGAAUAUGUAAGAACUUAUAUGCUUCUUCUUUGUUUUUGAUAUUUUGAAUUUAAUUAUACUAUUUCAAAAUUGUUUAUUUAAAUUUCUAUGUUCAUAUUUGAAUUAUAUAAGAUUCAUAUAUCAUCUCGCUUAUAAUUUUUUGAAUUUAUCAAUUUUUAUUGAUUGAUCAAUAAAGUCAUUACAAUCGAGUAUAUAAGAAUCGAACCUGAAACGUUAGCUUGGAAGACUAAGAGAUUUAGUCGAUUUAUCAUAUUUAUAUUUUUAACGUGUCUCAUUAGGAACCACUUUGGUUUCAGUCACCAACUUUAUGAUGAAUAUUUUUAAAUUUAGUUAUUCAUAUAGUAUACUAUGAGUUAUUGCUAUGUGAUAUAUCUUUCAUUCGAAAAAAUUUUGAAUUAAUAAUUUUAGUGGUUAAAGAAACAAUGCAACAGUGAAAAAGUAAAUAUUUUUUUUUACUUUUGUAAGAAAAUUUUUACUUACAACAUUGUUAAUUAAUCUUUUGUUAAAUUUGAUUUUAGUUUUUUUUUAAAAAUUAAACCCGUUCAUCGGACGGGUCCUUUUCUAGUAAUACAUAAAGUAGAAAAAAAUCAAUUUUUUUCUCCAUAACUGUUAUUCAAAAUUUAAAAAACGGACAUAUAUUAUCCAAUUGACGAAAAUGUGUGUUCAACGUUCUACAUCGAUUAAAAUAUUUAAACAAUGAUUCAGAAUCAUAUCAUAAAUAAGAUCAUUAAUAAAAUAAAUGAGUUUUUUGGCCGAACGGGUUUGGAGGGACGGAUUUUUGAAUCAACAAUAAUAAAAAGAUUAAAAUAUCAUUAAUCCGCCGCUUCAAUACAGAUUAAAUCCUUAUUUUUUAAUACUACAAAUAUUAGAUAUAUCAAAUCAGUCUCAUUUAGAAAAGAUUGUAUAAAACCAAAAUUGUCCCGUGAUAUAAUGUCGUGGUCUUAGAGGAUGAUAUGAUUUGUAAACUUUUAUAUAUAAUAAAUAAUUUUAAAAUUUUAAAAUAAAAACAAAUCACGGGACAGGUUAAGAAAUUACGGAACGGGUUAAUAUUUCGGAAAGAAUUUAUAUGGCGGACGAAUUUGAAUCAAUAUUUAUAUACCGCUUUAAUACGAGUUAAAUCCUCAGUUUAUUAAUAAUUGUCUCGUGGACUCGUGGUAUACCGUUACUUAAUAACAAUUGUAAACUAUAAUAUAAAUAAAUAUGUUAUAAGGAGAUACAAUUUACAAAAUAUUUUUAUACUAACUUUAAAAUUAAAUCAUCCGGGUUAAAAUCUAGUCUUGUUAUAUAUCAUACUAGAAUUAUCCUAUUUUGAGAUUCAUGACUAAUCAAAAAGUCAAAGCAAUCAAAUGAUAGAGUUUAUGGUUGUUCUAUAAAUUGUUUUGAGUUUCAUGAGCUUUCAUUUCAAAAAUCGAUAUAUCUACUUGUAUAGUUUUAUCUAAUCCAAAUCAAGAUAUCAGAUUAUCCUUAUGUAAUUUGAGUUGAUCUAAUCAGUAUACGAUAAAACUGAAGUGUGAUUUGCACUAUUUUGUAGUAACAACACUUUGCCUCUAUCAUUAUUUGGCGUCAAACGAUGACGUCUUAAGCUUCUUAACAUGUCUUCUUCACGUUAAAUGCAAAGUUUUGUAUACGUGCGCAGUGGUGAUGACGGCCUUCUAACGACUAUUGAAGAUCAAUAAAUAUCACAUUUAAUUACUCUCAUGACUCAUUCCAGUCCAAAUUUGAAUGGGCCUACAAAGAUUAUAUCCCAAUACAAAGUCCAAUUGACAGCAACCUCCGUCACCUGAUUCUCCAAUUCCGGUGAAAAAAUCAUCGCCGGGAAACAAUACUCGGCCAACGAUUCUUCAGUUUUUCACCAACUUUUGUAUAUACGGCUAAAGAGACAUAUAAUACAGAACAAAACAAACUCAAUCGGUUGCUAAAUCCACCAAUAAUCAUUUGGAUUCAGCAAACAAAGUCCAACAGAGAAUGAUAAGAUCUGAAAGUCCACCACCGUUUGCUUAUCGAUCAGCUUCACCAUCUUUUCUGUCGUAGUUGGCUCUUCUCCGUGCCUCCUACCAUUUUUCUCUCUCCAAAUAGAGUGGAUUGUGUUCUGGAACACAUACUUGAGUAUAAAUCCUUUGGUUUUAUCGAUGUCUUUUCCUGCAAGCAUCUUCAUGAUCUCUAGCCAUUUGUCGGAUCCUCAGUCCACUGACCAGCUCCUCCCACACCUUUCUUGAGAACGGGCAUUAAAAAAAUGAGUGAUCUCUUGUUUCCAGCGGGUCUUUGCAGAAGAUACAGCUCGUAUCCACGUUCUUGUUCCAUUUAUCAUUCUAUCCCCUGUUGCUACUCUGUUUUUCACAACUAACCAAGUCAGGAAAGCGUACUUUGGGGUAGCAUUCGCAAACCAGAUCUCAUCAGAGCCUCUCGCCUCCCGGAAACCUAGCUCUCUUCGCGGCUGCCCUUGACAACUAAACCUCCCCGAAAUCCCUCAGUACUUAGAUAAAUGCAUUUGCAGCGCUAACAAAGCUCGGGGCAACAACAGUGCUUGUGCGUCAGAUAUAUAUAUGCGACAAUGAGGAUCCACACCACAAGUCAGGCAAAUUCAAGUAAACCCCUGUAACGGAGCACUUGAUCUGCUCAAGGGCUCGUAGUAGUGUUUUCACAUCAAAUUGGAAGCUAUAACUUCUUUGAUUAGUUUUUAGUGAAAAUAAAUCUCUAGUUCAGUAAUAUAUGUGAAGAGGUUUUCGAGUUGCAAAAUUUCUGCAGAAACCUCAAGAAUUAAACUUAUUGACAAAAGAUAAAAACUUGUCUGAAGUUGUUUGGUCUCAUUGAUUCUUUCAACAACUUAAUAACCCAUAAUAACUAAUUUAACUGAAGCAAAAUCAUAAUGAACCAUCAUUCCAACAUUGAGAGACCAAGAUCACCAAUUUUACUUGCCCUGGUUGUUGAUUAAAGCUUUGGUUAGGAAAUGCGAAACGAUUCCAACCGGACAGAAGAGAAGGCAGAGCGAAACCGAAUGCCUCGUCUCGAUCUGAUUCUCUAACCCAUCAUUAUAAACUUGCCUGCAAAUAAAAACCGAAAACAUGGUUUAUAAGAAACAUGUUCGGAUAAAUUCAGAACCCAUUAAUUGAGAAGAAACAAAUCCGCAAUAUACCGUGCAGCAAAAAGAUCUAUCACAAGAAGAUGAAUCCAAGCAGAAGCAAGAGUCAUUUCACUUGAGAACAUUUUCGCUAUUCCGGACAGCUGCAGAUGAAAUAAAAACAUUAGAAACUGCAUUGAUACAUUCUUGUUUUCGAAUGUUUCGGGAUGGUUGAGGGAAAGCAAAACCUCUGGCAACAUGUAUUUACUAGAAAACAUGUAUUUGAGCGUCUCGGGUGUCCAAGAAAGGUAUAACAAAUAUGCGUAUAAUACGCCUAAGACGAUAUACGGUAUGCUACUCUCCAUACACUUCUUGGUCUGCAAAAAGCAACAUAAUACUCAAUUUAGAUCAACUUCUUUGGUUCUGCACAAAAACUGCAAUAAAACAUAAAACUUACAAUUUCAGCUUUUGGAGCUACAACCAUGAGCGUAUAAAAGGGAAGAACCGCGGUAGUUCCAACCGCAAAUACACUGCUUGCAAUCUGAGAAGUAGUUAACCCUGCAACAUGAAUAUAUAAGAGAUUCUAUCACUCAUUUAAUCUGAGAUCAAAAGUCACAAAUGAGUGACAAAGUUUUAAUCUUUAAACUUCAGUUACAAAUGCAGAGAAACACAUUACAUGAAGCUCGUACACCGGAGAAUUUCUUGCGAACUACAGAGUUAGAAUUCAACGAAACAUUGGACUGAACAGAGAUUCCUGAUCCUCCAAUGAAGCUCCAACGAUGAUCUAAUCUAAUCUUUGAAGAAUCAAGACAAAGUUCCAAUCUUUUAGCCGAAAUGUUGCGUUUCAUCAUCUGAAUUCAAGAAAGAUUCUCUUUUACUUCAUAGAAAUUCAGAAACUUUCAGACAAAAACUCACAACAAUCAAGAACAGAGAUUCUUUAACAGUGACUCAGGAGAAAUAAAGUCAACUUAGUCAAUUCGAAAACCCAUUAAAUUCUUCAAUUUGAGUCAAAAGAUAAAGACUUUUAAGGUUAUCCAUAACUAUUCAAAACAGUAGAACCUCAACACAUAUACGAAUAGUGAAAUUGAAGAAGAAGAUACCGUGAGAGAUGAAGACAAAGGCUGAGAAACGCAAGAAGAAAAAGCCAUCUCUGAUUUAAAUCUGCCAAAAAUUGAUCUUUCAUCACCUUCUUCAACAAACUCUCUGCAUAUAUAUAUAAAUUAAACACAAAGAGGAAUAAUGGUUUGAUAGAUUUCCACUGAAUUAAAAAAUAAAACGGAAGUGGAAGGAAAAAAAGUUGUCUUUCACACUCUUUCUUGCUCAGUGUCCACAAUUAUAUGCAACACUUUUUGCUCAUCCUUCCAUCUUUAAAAACUUCAAUUUCGGUUUAGUUUAUUUAAAUUACUUAGAUUUUUUGUUUAUUUAAAUUAAAAUCUAUUAUAAUAUGGCAUAAUCAGUAGAUUCAGUAUAAUUUUGGUUUAUUUCAAUCAAUGAUAUAUCUAAAUAUUAGUAUUAUUAUUAUCAUAUAAGAUUUUAGUAAAUUAAUUACACAAAAAAGUUCAAUAUAUAAGUACACAUAAAUUUUUGAAUAUAUUGAUGGAAAAUUUAAAUGUAAAUGGUUUAUUUUUGUGUGAAAGAAGUUAUAUGUUAAUGGAGAGUUGUGAUCAAAGUGAAUUUAGGUGGACAAGACACAAGUCUAGUUUCAGGACAGAAAAAGACAAUAGUUAGUGUUUCCCCCAUUAAUUCGUUUUUUUCUUUUAUUAGAUUAUAUAUUUUAAUUUGUAUUCACAACCUGGUUAUUGCAUUAAGAAUUGACUAUAAAAAGAUUUAAAAAAAAAAUACAUUAACGAAAAGAAAAACAAGAAAAAGAUAGACAUGUGGCUAAUACUCAUUGCUUGAGAAAUUGGAUGGAGUACGAAGAUAACUUGGGUGGGCUAUUUGGUAUGAUAACUUAUAUAUCUAUUAAUAGGCCUUUUGGCCCACCCACUUUGUUUUUUUUUCUAUUCCUUUAUCACUCCCACCUAAUUUGUUUAUUUCAACAAAAAACAACACAUGAAAACAAAAACAAAACUUUGGUAACUCCUAUCUAACCAAGUUAGAAAAAGCCUUUGGGAGGCGAUUUUUUAGGUCUAGCCGCCAAACAACUUCUCUUCUCAAAUCUUUGUCGAUACCUCUCUGAUUUUCCGGUGUCCUUGGCCGGAGUCGUGAGAGGGUGUGUCUGUUUAUCUUUUAAUUGAUUUUCCUUUGUUUUGGGUCUUCUUUGGCUUCUCCUAUGGCGGAUUAAAGACAAGAUCUAGAUGGUUGUGCUUCGAUUGGGUUGGUUCCGUUCUAGUGAUGGGUUUGCUUGGUUCUCAGUGGAUGGUCGGUGUUUUCGUCGGAGCCCGUGUGGUUCUUCACUAUUACGGCUGUUUGUUUUUGGAGAUGGAGGUUUGGUUACUUCAUCUUGUUUAUGCCCGUAACUUUUAGAAGCUCUGCAGUCUCGAUUCUGUCUUAGGCUAAGAUUGGAUUGCCUUUGGUUGGGUAAUUUAGUCUUAGUAGUAUGGUUGGUUGAGGGUAGAAGCCUUAGUUUCAAGUUUAGGGAUGGCAAUAUUGACUCCUAGUUCUGCCUCCUGUUACUUUCUGCCCGGUUAUUGGGGUUAUGAGUUUGUGAAGGUUUCGUUUUGUGGGUUCUUCAUUUGGAUGGUAGUCUCCUACAAAGGCAUCUACUAGCUCUCUUCUUUUUCCUUGUUUGGAUUUAAGGUUUGAGUUCAAGACGAUGUGGUAGGCUCGGUCUCUAUUCCUUCUCUUGCGUGGCGUAACAAGUUCUUAGGCUGUAGAUGGUUUUGGCUGGGUCUACGAAUGUCCGCGUGUAAGGUUUGUUGGCCCUCUUUAGCGUUUUCCCCUUCGGAUCUCAAGGCUUCUCCUUGUCCCUUCUCCUACUUGUCUUCUCUGGUUUCUGGUGUGGUAGUGAUGGUUAGGAUCUGUGUUCUGAUUCUCUUUUAUCUGUGCUCGUUUCUGCUCGGGGUGUGGUUGUGUGAGCUUGGUUUUGUAUCCUUCUCGGGCCUUUCAUGUAAAGGCAAUCUAAUGAUGGGUCCUCUUGUUGCUCCUGUUUGUAACCACUUUCCAGCGCCCAAAAUGUUCUAUGGAAAUGUUCGUCGGAUUCUUUUCGUGAAGAGUUUGCAGUUGUGUUGCUUGAGUCUUAGAUAUUAGCUUUUUCCUGUACUUUAAGGUUUUCCUUCUUUUAUGUCUGCCUUUUUUGGCUUUUGUCUUUGGGGGUUUCCAUGUAUCCGCCGGCUUAGUUUUCCGGGGAUUAGAGUCCCGCCGGGGUUAGUAUUUUACCAUGUAUCCCAACUUUGUAUUUCUCCCUUGGUUAUAUUUCAUGAAUUAUUCAGACGAAAAAAAAAAAAAAAGUAAGUCCUAUCUAUCAAUCUUUAUGUGGUAUUUGAGCAUUUCGAUGUAUUCGAUGGCGACCAAAACCUUUUGAAAAACAAUAUGUAUAAUUCUUGAAAUUAAAUAGUAAAAAAGUUAUUAAAAAAUGGGUAAAAAAGUUUUAAGAUAUUUGAAAACUUUCCACUAUAUCAAUAAUUAAUUAGAAAUGUUUUUUUUUUUUAAUAAAAUUUGAGUUUUUACGACCCACACAUAGCAUAUCCUAUUUCGAAAGUACCUAAACAAACGGUUCCAAAAUAUCUUUAUGUGAAUUUGGGUCAAGCCCUUCGAUUGAAGAAAAUAUAUGAUCCACAAGAUGCUUGAAUAUACUUAGUAAAAAUGAAUAUUCAAGACUCUUAUCCAGAAUCCUAUCCUAAAGAAGGCACGUCCACUAAUGUAUCCAUCACUAGAUUUCAAGUGGGUCAUCUUUUACUUAAAGAUAUUGUUAGUCUAAACCUCUCAAGCUCAUUAAUCAUGUGACAAGAAUUGAAUGUGAAUCUAAUUUUUCUAGUGAUUUCUUUAGCGACACUAGAUAUGCUAUGGUUCUUCAACUUGUAAAUUUCAUAUUUGGAGCCGCAUUGUCCUCUUUCAUUUUGUUCAUAUGCAAUUCAAAUUGAAAGACUUAUAGAACAUUACAUAUUUAUUUCAUCAGACAGUUGAGAAUCCGAUAGAAAAUGUCUCGCAAACCGGAAAACAAACGUUAAAUCCGGAAAUUAAAACCCAUAAAAAAAGAAGAAGAAAAAAAGCAGAAGAACAAGGGAUAAAAUCAAAGGUGGGGGAUAAUGUUUUGAUGUUUACACAGAGCAAAGGGAAAUUAACCGGUGAAGCUUGGUGGCUUGUAGGCAAUGAAACUGAUGCACUGCACUUGACGGCUGUUGUCGAAUCCGAUGAUCCUAAUGAAGGCUUCAGGGUACUCCUUCUUGCACUCUUCCACUUCCUUCAACACUUGAGCGGAGUCGGUGCAACCGAACAAGGGAAGCUUCCACAUUGUCCAGUACCGUCCAUCGUAGUAUCCGGGGCUGUUACCGUGCUCACGGUACACAAAUCCGUGCUACAAACCACAUAUAUUACAACCACUCAGAAAAACAUUUUGUAUAUGUUUAUAUAAUUCAAGAUUCCUAAUAUAUGAAGCGAAUUACUAACCUAAUUUUCCUAAGAUCUACCUCGUUUAUAUAUAUGUUUUAAGCUUUUAUUAAUUACCUCCAACUCGAAUUCAACACAAGGAAUCCACUUGUUGCGGAGAAGGUAGUCAACUUCCUUAGCCAAUUCGGAAUCGGUAAGGUCAGGAAGGUAAGAGAGAGUCUCGAACUUCUUCUUUCCAACGGGAGGCCACACCUAUAUUUUUUUUUUUUAUCGAUUUUUCGAAUCAUAUUAGUUCAUGUAAAUCUAAUUAAAAACCGAUAAUAAAUUAAAAAGUGAAGAAGAAAUAUAUAUGACCUGCAUGCAGUUAACUCUUCCGCCGUUGCUUGUGAUGGAAGUAAUGUCGUUGUUGGCCUUGCGGGUGGCUGGGAAGGCAGCGGAGGACUUAAGUCCGGUGAAAGGAGCGACCAUUGUGGCCUGAGCCGGAGAGGCAACCAUAGUAGCGGAAGAGAGCAUAGAGGAAGCCAUUGUUCUUCUUUAC